rnacentral:lncRNA from 1 species
UGGCAAAGACAGUGACCUGAACAGGUACACUCACGUGAACAGCAGCACUACCAUCCGCCGUGCUAUUCUCGGAUCCAAACGGCGUCUCAGCUGGGGCACCACCAGGCGUCUCCACAGGCGGAGCAGGGGGUGAAGCAGCGAGAGGAGAUGGAGCCUCAACACUAGCCGGAGCUGGACUCGAUGCAACCGGACUCGGACUCGGUGCACUCACCGGUUCCCCUGCCGGGGCUGGAGACGGAGCUUUCCCGAACAACUCAACCGGUAGCAGCACAUUAUCAACAGUGAAAAUCACUAGCGGUGUUGAGUCAAGGACCGUUUCAGCAACUCGCGACGGACCGAUUCCAGUGUGUAGAGUCACCGAGUCACCCGCACUUGUAACCGUCAGAUCGAACUUACCUGCACCGUUACUAGCCAACGUAGAGAUCGGGUCUUUGCUAGUUUUCAAACUCCCAAACGGACUGUAAGUAGCCGUGGCAUGGUACUGUAAGAGCGAGACUAUUUCAGCAUUGGUGAGCUUGCUCAGAUCAGGUACUCCAGCAGCCUUGAACGCCUCGUCGUUUGGAGCAAAAAUAGUUAAACCUUUAUCCGCCGCUGACUGAUACGUUUUAAUGACACCGCUAGUUUGUAACAAACUCGCAAAUGUUUUGCAUCCAGCCUUUUCGAGUAACGCCGUAAUGUUCACACUUGACGGUGUUGGGGCCGGAGCUGUUAAAAUCCCUGGAGCUAUAAUCGGCUGGCUGAUUUCAAGAAUUGAAAUAUUAUAAGGGACUUGCUUCACAGAUUUAGUGUAAGAGGAAUCAAGUUUCGAGCCGGGAGCAGCGGAGCCGAAGCCGACUUUACCACCUUGGAGAUCUGUAAUGUUGACGAAUCCGAGGUUACCAGGGGCAUUUCCAGUAGUUUGGUAGAGAGUGGUGGAUAACGUGGUGCCUUUGGAGAUCUGAUGGAGUUUAGUUGGGUCAUAGUAAUCAAGGACAACAAGAAGACUAAGGGCAUUCUUGAUGACUGAAAGUGGAUGUUUGGCUGCAAGAGCAGUCAUAGCCCCAUUGUUGAGAGCCAAGACAGUUAUUGUCUGGCGAGUGUUGAUUUCAUCGGCUAGUUUUGUUUGGGUAAGGUACUUGUUGAACUCGGAGUAUUCCGGGAAGCCUGAGAGAAUGUCGGUUAUGUUGUGGGCUAAGAUGGUGGAGACGAGUGCUGAUAGUGUGAAGGAAAGAAGGAGAGAGUACUGUAACGUAGCCAUGGUGGAAUUUUGAGAGAGGGAAUGAGAGUGAGUGGGUAGGCGUGGAGAGGGAGUGAUAAAAAGGGGAAAGAGGAGAGGAAGGGGUUAGUGGGUAACCAGAGUUAAUUGUGGUUGGGUUUAAAGCUGGGUUAGUGGUUGGGGGGCGGGGCCAUGUGAGGGGCAGGCAUGCUUUGGUUCACAGCUGGAAAUGUUAAAGGGCUUUCUGCAUGGAUUGGUGGCAAAUGGUAUUUGCCAUUGCUCCUCCUCUUGUUUGUGGGGAAAAUGAUAAGAGUGCCCUCACGGGUGGUUAGCUUGGUUCGUGCCACUGCCACGUGGAGGAGAUCAUAAAAGCAAGUGAUAUUAUGAUGGUUUUGUUGACGGAAUGGGUAUAGUAACGGUUAUGAAGAUGUUUUGCUCAAUUUAGGUUGUUGAAUCAACCAAGGUAAAUCUAAGUCAAAUGAUAUCAUUUUAUUUUUAUUUAAAAAAAAAUCAAGAGUUGACCAGGUUAGUUUUUUUUAACUAAAUUAACAUGUAACUAGAAGCACUUGAUUUUAUCGUAUCUAUAAUUUUUUUUAUAAUUUAAUUUGAAAUUCAACCACAACAUAAUUAUAAAUAACAAUUUUUUUUAUUAAUUCAUCGGAUUAAGCUGGAUUUAAUGAUUAUAAUUUUACUGAAUAAUUACAGGACCAACUUUGUGGAUUGAAAUAUAAAUUAAACACCUUUCCUAAUCAAGUUUAGCUCUCAUGGCUGGAAUUAAUCAUCAUUUAAUCAAAUCUUGAAUCAAUUCAUAAACCGGAACGGAAAGGCGCAUUUAUGAGGAAAUUUUUGAUAUCUUUUGAAUUUGAAUUUGAAUUUGAAAUAACAAGAGGGGGACAGAUUAACUCAGCAAUUGAUCCAGUAGCUGAAGAGCAGAAUUUAAAAGAGAAAUCAUGAAGAUUCUAGAGAGCUUCCAACGUCCAGAUUCAUCAUGGCUGGAGACUAGGAGGUGGACCAUCUGAUAUUAUGCUGUUUCUACCCAUAAACGAAAAAUCUGACUUGUUUUUUCUAGAUGAAAAAUUGCUAUAUGGCUGUCGAUGAAAAAACUUCAUGUAUACACCAUGUUUUCCAUGGCUAGUUGAUGUGCUUGGCUGGUAGUUGGUAUUCGUUUGAAGAAACAAGCUCCAUAAGGAACAAUCAACUCUAUAAUACUUAAAUUAAUAUGUGUAUACAAAAAGAAAAAAUAUAGAUUGCAUGAACUAGCUUGGCUUGCCCUAACUUUCAAUGGUCUGGCCUGACUUAUCUUUGGCCUUUGUCUCGUUGUGGUUGGGAUUGUCUUCACUUUGUUGCUUGUUUUGUGAUUGGUUAAAUUUAUACACUCCAACCUUACAAUUUUUUCAUUAAAAAAAGGUUGUAUUAUUUAUAGAAAAAAUAAUGUUUUUAUUUUUAUUUUUUUAUUAAUAUGAAUGUCAUGGUCAGUUUACGCGUACCUUGACUAAUCCUAUGAGUUUUAAAAUUAAUGAUCAUGUAAACCUCAAAUAAUUAUGAGAUUUAUAAAACUUAAACCAACAAUAUUUAAAAAUAAAUCUAGAAUCUUUUAUUAAUUCAAUUAUAUUUUUAGGAUUAAAAAUAAUAUUUUAUUGUUUGUUUGAUCAUGAUGGAUCCGAAUUAAUAUAUCAAAUCAUGUGUAUGAAAAGUUUGUAUGGUUGAUGGAUUGUACUAAAUGAUGUGAAAAUCUUCCUUGCUGGUUAGUACGACGUCUCUGAUAAAGUAGAUUCUUCUUUGAAUUUAAUUUUUCAUUUAAAUAACAAAAAGAAGGAAAGUGAGCUCCAAUUCUCUUUAUUCUCUGCUUGAUACAGUCAACAAGUUCGUGAUCCUGAAAAAUCUGCACUCUGUUUAUAUUCCGUAUGAUCUCAAUAUGCAGGCAGGCUGUCACAGAAAACAGCAUCGAGUCUUCUAAAACUUUCAUAGAGUAGCAGACUGUGAUCUGGGUUAUGUGUGGGAUGGUUUUUGUGAAUAGAUUUAAGUUUUUUUUUUUUUUUUUUUAUCUUUGGUUGAAAAAAAAUAUAUAUAAAUUCACUUUGUUAGAAAUAUCUUUUGACUUGCAUUAAAAUCUUGUCAUGGUUUUUUUUUUUCACUUGAGAUUACGUUGAAUGUAUUCUAGAACUUUAAUGAUUUUUUAUUAAUUAAAAAAAAUAAAAGAAUAAUUAAUUUGAUAUGACUUGAUAAAAAACCUAAGUCAACUUGAUAUAAAAUAUGAGUAAAAAAUUAUUGAUUUUUUUUAAAAAAUUAAUCAAAACAAAGUUAUUUUGAUUAUUUUAUUUUUAAAAACGGGCCAAUCGGGUUGACCUUCCUAGCUCAUGACUUGAACCUUGCCUCUGAUCAACUCUCGAUUUGAGUUUUAAAACUAUGAUGUCAAUCACUUUUAUCUAUGUAUUGACUUAGAUUAACCCGUAGUUGAGACCUUGCCCCAAUUAACCCUCCGGGUCAGGUUUUAAAAUUAUAAAAAUAACAAUUUUUAUCCUUAAAUUGCUUCGGGUCAACUUUGGCUGGCCCUCUUGAUUCGUGACCUGAGUCUUGCCCCUGGUUGACCUCUGAAUGAUUUUUCAAAACUAUAAUAAUAAUCAUUUUUAUUUUAUGUUGACUUAGGUCAACCCGGGCUGACAUUUCCAACACAUGACCCGAACCUUAACCCAAGUCAUUCCUCAAUCCGGGUUUUAAUACUAUGAUUGUAAUAAUUUUUGUUCUUAUAUUGACUUGGGUCAACAAUCAACUACACUCGUGAUCAAGGCAUUGACCUAAGUCAACUCUCGAAUCAAGUUUUAAAACUAUAAUAAAAAUAAUUUAUAUUUUCAUGUCAACACGGGUCAACCUGGGUAAACUCACCUAGUGACCCGGGUCUUGACUAGUAACUCGGGUUUUGCAACUUCCAUGUUUUUAUUUUUUUUAGUUUUAAAUUAUUAUUUUUUAUAUUUUUAAUUCUUUUAACAUACUAAUAUUAAAAAUAAAUUUAUUAAAAAAUAUUUUAAAAUAAAAAUUAUAUUAAAAAACAAUCUCCGCCGAAACCAAAACCGUGACUAAAAGACACCGGUGAAGGACUUCAUUUUUCUUCUGUGAAGAAAAUAUAACGUGACAGGUAGAUUGUCCACGGUCCAUGCCAAGGACGUGGAAAAUAAACGGAAGUUAAAGAAUGAAUGUACCAAAUCACAGGCUGUUUGUACUCGAUCAAAAUAGGACCACAUCAGGUUUGAUGUAUGGUUCUCGAGCAAUCACAUAUUUGUCGGCAGCAACGCAGCACCACACGCAAGCCAAAUCCGAAAUUGGCAAAAUAUUAUAUAUACUGUAUGUUGCUGCUUUCCAAUAGAUGCCUUGUGACUGUGUGCCCCCUUAACAUUCGAAGCCUCUAUUAAAAGGCCCACUUGCUAGUUGGGAACCCACGCUGGAAUCAAUUGGUUUUCCAAAAGUAUUUGGUAGAUUUUGGAAACACUUGAAAAAGAUAAUGAUUUAUUUGGGUAAGCUUAUGCGUAUUUUGACUAAUCUUGUGAGUUCUGAAAUUAAUAAUCAUGUAAACCUCCAGUUGCCCUGAGGUUUGUGAAAUUCAAACUGGUGACAUUUAAAGAGCAAAUCUAGAGUCUGACCAGUUGAGUUACACUCUCAUAGUCUGAAUUUUACAUAUAAUGCAAUCGAUAGGUCGGUCAUUUAUAUUUUUAUAAAUAAUUUAGCUCAUUAACUUACCCCAACACAUCAAUUCUAGUUAACACACAUUCAUGUCAUUAACUUUGUUGAUUUUAACUUUAAAUUUAUGGUUUUAAAUCAUUUUAACAUGUCAGUGUUAAAAAUAUUUUUUUAAAAAUAAAAAUAUAUAUUUUUGAUAUAUUUAUAAAUAAAAAUACUUUAAAAAGUAAUUAAUAAUAUACUAACAAACAAUCUUAGAGGAUGCUUGGGAUUAUGGUAAUGAUUGUCUUUUAAAAUACUUCUUGUUUGAAAAUAUAUUAAAGUAAUAUUUUUUAUUUUUUAAAAAUUAUUUUUAACAUCAGAAUAUCAAAAUGAUAUAAAAAUAUUAAAUUUUUUUUAAUUUGAACCAAGAAAAAAUUAAAAAAAUUAAUUAAUUUUUUUUUUAUAAAAAAACACAAUGUUAAUCUUAAAUCAGUCUAAGCGAAACUUUGAAUUGGUACAAAUGAUUUGAAUAGUUUCCUUAGGUGGGACCACGACACGAUGUUCUGUGGAUUGAGCUUUUGUCAAUCUUAAACUAUAAGCCCAGAUGUAUAUUUUUUGAACAAAGCCCAACUGAAACUAUUAUUGCAAAUUCCAUCCUUGCGCUAUCUUGGGUCAAAUGAGCCCUAGGAAAUAUGAAGUUUCUGGUCCUCUAAUUUUGAAACACAAAGCCCUGAAAAACCAAUUCAAACGACUUGACACGUGGACACUCCUUCAGGCACUGGCAUAGUCCACCUGUCUAAAAACGGAUCCCACUUGUUCAUGCUAGAUAGUGCGGACCCACUAAACAGAAAGGUCAUUGACGUGUCAUGUUCUUGUCAGGAUUUCUGCAGGACAAAGCAAGCACGCUGACAAGGCGCGUGUAAGUAAGCCAUCAUCAGGAUGUCACGCAACAUGGCAACAAGUAGUGCUCAUGUGGUGUUGUACUUCACGCUUGAUUUAUUUGAGUGGGGGGGUUUUGAAAAGGACAAGCUACAUUUUAGUUCCUGUAGAUUUAGUAAUAUUCAAAUUAGAUCCUUACAAAUUAAAAUUUCUCACUCCUAUGUAAAACAUAGUUAAGAACUCCUGGACGAUUAUAAAAACGAGUUAAGAAACUAAUUAAAAAAAUGAACCAGUAAAGUGCCGCCAGCUAUUUAAGAUUGAAGAAUCACACUAGAGUUUCUGGAGACUUAAAGAGAUUAAACUAUAUAUACCAUGAUGAAAUGUUGUGAAAGUUGUAGGGUCCAAAGUAUAGUUUACCCUAGAAAAACAGUCACGUGCAUUUUCCUUUUGAAUUUUGUCUGCAGCAAGCAAGCACGCAAGGCAGUUGAUUAUGGUCAGAAAAUCUGACACCUCUUUAACCUCACUCAUAAGGGAGAUGCCCUAUGCUCGUGGUUAAUUAAAGAGGUGGAGCUACAGCCUUUUGUUUUGGCUUCUGAAUUCACUUUUUGAAAGAAACCUCUGCCUCCCUCUCUCUCUGUGUCAAUGCCCAUUAAACUCACAGUCAGGUACACGAUCCUGUGUCUGUUCUUGUUUUUGUAGAUACACGACAAUGGAGAAAAGAGUAUCUGAAGAAUCAGCGCCGUCGAUGAAACUGUCUCUUGGGAUUGGUGCUGGUGAUCAUGGUGAUGAUGAUCAAGAUGAUAGACACGUGUUCCCACAGUUAACAGAGACUCAGUUGCAUGAGCUUAAACAGCAAGCUUUGAUAUUCAAGUACAUAGUAGCUGGUCUUCGCGUGCCUCCUGAUCUUGUAGUUCCCAUUUGGCAUAGUGUUGCUAGCAGCUCUCUUGGUUCAUUUAGUGGUGCUGAUAUUUAUAGGCAAUUCCCAAGCUGUAAGUCAAUAUUUUUUCUUUAGUUGUUGUUAAGUCACUAAUUUCCUGGGCGAGGCUUGUUUUAAUUGCUUGAUUUUUCUUGGGGUUUGAGGUUAGUGGAUUUGAGCUUCAAAAUGAGGUUAGUGGAUUUUGUUAACUAGAUUUUUUUGUGCGUCUUUAAGCUUACACAUGCUUAAUUAAAGACCUGGCCUUUCUUGGUUUCAUGGUGUUAAUUGGAUUCAUUUUUGUUUUAUUUGAAAAAGUGGUCUUGCUUUAAGGCGAUUGUGCUUGUUUCUAAUUUUUUUUUCUUGUUCCAAGGAAUGUGAUUUAGAAUUGUUUCCAGAUGCUUUUGUAUAUGCAAGCCUUGAAAUUUGUUACUAUCGCCCUUUUGGGGGGUAAUGCUUCUGUAACUUGAAAAUAUAAGUUGAGAUUAAUAGUCCUACACAACAUGUCGCAUGCUGGGAUGAUCUUAUCUUUGUUUAGCAGAGGUUGGGAUUUUUUACUCGAUGUAACACCCUUUUGGGGACUCAUGCUUUUUUCGAAAAAUGAUGUGCGGUGGGCAUGGAAUCUGAAUUUUAUGUUUGUUUAGGUUAAUUUGUUAUAAAUUUAAAUGAAUUUGACCACCUGUAUGAAUUUGCUUUCUUAUGUCAGUUGUGGGAUUAAGUCCUCAGGGAUUUGAUUAUAGACAAAUGAUGGAUCCAGAACCUGGGAGAUGUAGAAGAACUGAUGGGAAGAAAUGGAGGUGUAGCAAGGAUGUAGUUGCUGGUCAGAAGUAUUGUGAACGCCAUAUGCAUAGAGGCCGUCAACGUUCAAGAAAGCUUGUGGAAGCUUCUCAAACUGCUGCUGCUUCUGAAAAACCAUCACCUCACAAUUCAAGCAAGAAUUCAGACAAUCCAACCACUCAUUCUUCUAAUUUAGCCAAAGUAAGUUCACAGAUAAAAGCCCCACCUCUUAAUAAUACCCCCACCAUUUUAACCACUUGCACCACAAGUUGCAAUUCUGACAUUGAAAUCACUGGCAUGAGCUUGGCCACUACUGCUAAUUCUGACUGCAAAAACCCCUUUACAACCAUGACUACUAGCAUUGUUACCGGCUACAAGAACACUGCAACAAUGAUCGCUAGUGCUGUUCAUGCUGACAUUACAGCCACUGGUAACGACUACAAGAGUAGCAUCAACUUAAAGAGACACUACAUUGAUGACAGAAACAGUAAUUGCAGCAACUCUGUUACUUACAAGGGUAUAAUCGACAGAAACUGCAGCAACAAAAAAAUAAAAAAUGCUGGUAGCAAUGUAUCUCAAGGAUUGAACUUCUCCCCGAAGAGUGUUCUUCAAGGUAGUAUACAUUAUGUGAAUUGAAAUUACUAGUGCUAUGAGAAGAGAUUUUCACUCUAGCUUGUGUAUAUUUGACUAUACUUUUCAAAACAACAGGACAUGUUUAAUGGUCUGGAAAGAGUUAGUUAAUUUCUCAGUGAGUUCCAUAUUGGCUUCCUUACUGACUUUCUCACCAUUGUUGUUAGAGUUUAUAUCCAACUGAAGAAAUGCGGUCUUAGUUUGUAGUUCACUCCAUUCCAUUUCAUGAAAGAAUGCUGUAUGUUAGGUGGUGUAAACUCAAAAGUAGUGGUUGCUCUCUAGAUGCGCUGAGCAAUUUAUCCCUGCCUCCCUGGAGGCUUCAGUCCGCAAUCUAGUUAGUGAGUCCAUUAUAAGUUUAAUUUUUAUUGCUUAAGCAAUCUGUCCUGUGCAUUUUCAUUGAACAAUUGGAUCAUGGAUUAUUUGCUGGAUUUUUUCAGCAGCGCUAGACUCGGGCCUCCUUUCAAAACCAUUCGUAGAAUGAUUUUGGAGUAACAGUUUGUUUUGUUUUGAAGAUUGGAUUCACACGUUCAUUACUGUUGUUUUCAGUUCAAGGUUGCGGCGCCUCACACAUUUACAUGAAUGAUGUGGAACUUGAACUGGGAAGGUGUAGAAGAACAGAUGGAAAGAAGUGGCGAUGCCGCAGGGAUGUUGUAGCUAAUCAGAAGUAUUGCGAGAUGCACAUGCACCGAGGUUCUAAGCAGCACUUGGAAGCGUCCAAACCUGCUGCAAUUCCCGCUACAAUCCCAUUUGUCCCUGGGAAUGUUCAUUCAUAUCCUGCAACGAACUUGCCAAGUAAAGCAGAUCGCAGAAGCUUAAACACCGAUCUCUGUAUUUCGAUCCCAACAAGUCCUCAACUGAUCAUGACCAAUGAUGAUACAAGAACUAUCAGCAAUAGCAGUGACACUACCAUAAGCGACACCAUGGUUGGUACCUAUCAAAACAAAAACCUUUCUUCUUAGCUUGUUAUUUGGAUUAUGUUGAGUUUGUUAUGAACGCGUUCCAUUAUCAUAUGAGAUCAGAUAUGAGAUCAGUUUUUUGGUGUUCUACCGAGGAAACAAGGAUGCCUUCGUUGCUCUGUUGUAAUGAGAAAUUGUGUAAUCAACGAACACCUAAUGGUGUAGUUUGUUAUAUUAUAUCUUGUAACUAUGCUUAGCUCGACUAAUUGGUUCUUAAAUUGUCCACUAGAGAUCAAGAAAAAUGGUUCUUCGGUGUGCAUGAAAUUCAAAUGGGAUAUACAUAUGUUUUGUGACUCCUCAAAACGGUAUUAGGAACGUAUCUUCCCCCCGCUUCUACACAGCAAGGGGCUGUGUAGAUACAGAAAUCACGAAAAUUUAUCUGGAUAUGGUAGAUUCUAUGUUCUACGAUAAUUUGCAUUAGGGUAAUAAAAUAAUUGCUUCUAGAAUUUAUUUUGAGAAAGCAGGUUGUUUCCUGAAUUAAAAAAAAAAGUGAGAAUUCUAAGACUUUUUUAACUUGAUAUCAUGAUAAAGCAUUAUUAGGUGAUCUGUUUAAACCCUAAAUUGGAAGGAAUUUAGUCUUUUUAGUAAUACUAGAACAGAAAAAAAUAAUAAUUUAUAAAUAGUUUUUUAGCCCUUUCUCUUUCACUAUCUUCUGACUUUUGGAUAAUUUCAGGGAGGUUAUUGUAAUUUACCUUUUCUUUUGUAAUUUGCCCUUUGAUUAUGUUUGCCAGUUCAAUAUUUUGUGAUAAUCUAAAUGAUUGUGAAGAUAAUCCUAGAGGGGCACCACACCAGGACUGGUAUCAACACAUGCAGGUAGUGGGGAUCCCAAAAGUCCUCCUGGUGGUGACAGAGCCAGGUUAUUAAAGAAAGCUGAAGUUAUGGAGGCGGCGGUAGAGAUUUACGAGGAAGUACAAUCCGGCCGUGGGGUCAGAAGUUUUAUCCAAGGCAGAAGACUUCCAACUUUUCCCUAUGUUUAUAUCACACCUCUGCUGUUAAUCUGCAAUUAAUUCUAGUCAAACCAUGUGAUUAAAGUUACAAGAGGUGUAAGAGAAGAAUAACGUUUAAUUCCAUCCUAUGCAGACAACUGAUAUCAGCCACAUGAUACAAAAAUAUAUUAAAAAAUAUAUUUAUUUUUUUAUAAACAAAAUGUAUUUACAAAUUUGUGCAUUUCAGUACUUCUGGAACGUAAAGUGAUUUCUUACAAUUUGGAUUGUUUGUUCCCAAGGCUGAUUUUACAAUAGUGACACAAAGAAAGAAUCACACUCCUAGAGGCGAUUAUAUUCUGAAAGGCAACAUGAGCAUAAUGCAGCAACACAAGGAUUAAAAAGAAUCAUCAAAUGCAGGUGCCUUUCUUGUGAUUAGUUGACAGGUAAAAGCUGACGUGAGAAGCGCUGAAUCGAGUUCAUGUUGUGACAGGAAGUCAGUUGGAGCCGAAUUCCUCGUUCCAUCGUUCAAGGUCUCCCCACUUGCUUUUGCUUAAGCUGGGUCUGAUUACAGCCAAUGCCUUCUGAAAGUCUUCAUAUCUGAGCGGUCUUACCUAAUCAAGCAAACACCACAUAGCAUCAAUUUUACUCAAAAUCUAGAUACAAUCAAUGAUAGAUCUUCAAUUUUACUCAAAAUCUAGACACAAUCAAUGGAAAAUCUAACUUGAGAAAUAUAUUUUACUCAAAAUCUUAACCUACAACGCAUUUAAAAAGACCAAGCAAUAAUUUCAGAAUAUCUCUCAACUGCAGUCUGUCCACACACCAGAAAAAACAAAAUUGUCAUGAGAUUGCAGUUGCAGCGUUUUGGGCUUGCGCUCAAGAAGUUGCAGGCUCAGGUUAGAAGGUGCCUCAGGAGUGAAGGUUUUCUUCGGGAGAUGUGUUUCAGAAACCCUACUCCAGACAAACUACGCUUGAACAAUAGCAUUUUGAGAGGGGAAAAAGGAUUACUUACUUCCAAGUUUGGACCAAAAAGAGGGCUAUUGAAGAUGAAGUGAAAACCAAGUUUGGGUAUGACAGUUUAAAAGUCACUCAUCUGAGUUCUUUUAAUAGCUUGGAAUUAAAUUCAAAUGCUCAUAUUCUAAAACAAGGGAUAUCCUCAAGUGUUAAUAAGUGAACCAGCUUCAGUUUUUAGCAAUACUGGUGAUUAUGGUUUGAAGGUCAUGCAUGAAAUUAAGGUCAAGAAAUCUUCAAAUGGAUAUGGUAAUGGAUUCAAAUCUAUCAACAACAUACCAUACAUGAUUGCCUAAGAUUAUUUAUGGCUAAUUUACCAGAUCAUAAAAAGAGAAAGACCAUGUUUUUAGCUGGAUUACCUGAUUUGCCUUGACAGUGAGAAUGUUUGCACCAAGCUCCCUAAUUGGCAUCAUUGCUGCCUCUUCACACAAGGCUUGUAAAUCACUUCCAGAAUAUCCUAUAAAUUACAGAGUUAAAAGGAUUGAGAUAUUAGUUUGAAAGUUUUAUUCACUGUCAUUAAUGUUUGAGGAUCACUUUUGUUACAAGUCCUCUAAGUGGCAUGCAUACAUUGACUGUCGGCCAGCUAUAAUACAUGUCAAGGACUUUACACAUCAAAGAUUUUCCUAUCAAAUGACAUAAGCAUUGAAUGUGUUCAGUAAGCUAUAUUGAGCAUAUCCUAUAAGCAAAGAGCUGAAGGGAUUUAGUUUUUAGUUUGAAUGUUAUUUUUUCCUACAUGUCAUGGCCAUCCAAUAAAUGCAAUAUUCAAUAUGCUAUACGAGUACUAGUUAUCUUACCUUCUGUCUCUCUAACAAGCUUUUCAAGGUCUCCACCUGUCACACAUUGUAAGCUGUAAAUUAUCACAUUGAAGUAAAACAGACACUAACCAUGAUGCAUACAAAAUUUGCUUUUCCAAUGCACUGUUUCUGUUGGAUUAUCUACAGUUUGGCAAAAAAAGUUUGAGAUGCUGAAAAAAGGCAGAUGCUCAGCAAAAUUGAUUAAAAUUGAAGGUUGGUUGCACAAAAGAAACAUAGAAGGAUGCCAAAAAGAAGGGUGUGGGGGGGUAAAUAAUAAUUAAAAGUGUGCAAAAACGGGUUGAUGUUGGCAAUUCAAGGAGUAAAGGCAUGCUAAGGUCUAUUAUCUUUUUAGAACUUACCAAUGAUUUUCAAAUGAAUAUCCAUUUCAUGUUAAAAGAUGACUAUGAUUGCAGCAACCAGCUUUUUUAAGCAUUGCUCUGAAUUUAGAAACUAAUUUUCUCAGGACAUUUCAAAUGUCUUCUUAAGUUAUUGUUUCAACCUAUAAUGAAUGAGACCACAAAACCAAAGCAGGAACAACAUAUUCUUAAAGCAUGGUAUGCAAGGGUAUGGUACUUUUCAAAUAAAAAAGAUCACUGACAGCAUGAAUUAGAGAGAGAGCACACAAAUACCAGGUAAGGAAAAUGCUCGGCCCUUGAGUUUAUGUUUCAAAAGAACCCUUCUAACGUUUCCAUCCGGUAGAGGUACAUAUAUUCUUUUUACCUGUUCAGUAUUUCACAUCAAACUCAGUCACAAAAGUUAAAUAAACUAAAUUUAGGAGAGAAAAUUGAUUGAAUUCAUAUAAGCAACAUAUGAAGAUGAUUUUAUCCAAUAAGGAAGAAGAAUCCAAAUGAAAAAAAUGGCAUAAUUUGAUUCUUCUACCAUGCCCUUUUGCUAUAUAACAACAAACACUUUUAAGACAAAAGCGAAGUACUGAUGAGUUAGAUUAUUGUGAAGGUGCCGAGGCACUUUCUCAAUGCACGGAGAGUAGGCUGUAGUCAGUUACAGAGGUGGUUUAUGCUCAACCCAUCUAACUAAACCAGACCUAACUAGAAAAAUCUGAGCUGAUACCACCUAAAAGAUAGAGGAGAGAAAAAAUACUUCAAAUUUGAUAUCUGUGCCUACGAUGGGCCUGAAUAUACCAAAUGGACAGAUAUCUUCUCUCAAUCCACGACAUCGAUAAUGUAGUUAUCAGCAUCUCUGGCACAAAUGCCUAAGCUCAUAUUAUUGGAUGGAACUAUCUAGGCAACAUUAGGCUAGAUGGCAGCAACAUUGAGGGGAACAGGGACUUAAUUGGAAAAACAAAUUGAUUGCCUCAAUCUUUGAUGUUUGGGACCUAGGCUUACAAUAGACUUGAAUGAUACAAAUAGAAAACAAGCCCUCUCUCAAUCCACAUCACCAGGAAGGCACCUGAUCAUGAAUACCAAGGCUCAAAUUAUUUUAACAGUCCUGCCUUGGUAACAUUAGGCUGAACAAUGCCAACAUAAAAUAAGGAUGUUUUGUUGAAAAGAAAAGUAUUAUCCAACUCAUUUAAAUCAAGCUGCAGCAAAUUCAUGGAACAGUAUACUGACCAAUCUCCUAAGAACUGCAUCAUCCAAUUCCUGCGGCUUGUUGGUGGCACCUGCAAUAGAAUUUCACAAGGAUCUUAAAUCAUGUAACCACAAUGCCUAUCACAACUAUUUGGAACCUAUAUUACAUGUCAUCUUGAGAGUAAAAUGAAAAAAAUAACUGGAUGUCAGUUUGGUGUUGAGUUCUGUAGAAUGAUGCAUGCUAUUGAAAAAGAAUAGAUAUACUUGUUUCUUAGGAAAAUGAAUAUUUAAGGCUAGGAGUGAUCCAAUAGAAAAGGAAAUGAAGCAAUCACUUCAUGAAGGUUCCAUAAACUUCAACAAGAGUGUAAUUUGAAAAGUAAUGGGAAAUGCUGAACCAGAGAAGUUGAAGUUUACAACUUGUUUCCUUGACUGCAAAUUUUCUGUAGACAGAGGAGUUUGGCCGGCCACUAAUGCAUGUGUGUUCCAUAUUUAAUUGAUCAAUAUCAUUUGGAAAAUAAAGCAGACACCAUGAUUACAAAGACAAGUUUUAAAGUAGAAGUUGGAGCAAAAGUCAACACAGCCUCCAUGAAAACAAUAUGGAAGUGAAGUUGAAAGACCCAAAUGCUAAGAGCCACAGCUCGAUUACAUAAAGCUUACCAAUAACAAUUACUAAAUCAUUAGGAUUAGAGGUCACGCCAUCAAAUUGUAUUAGAAAUUCAGACUUCAAUCUUCGGCUUGCAUCAUUCUCAUUAGCCAACCUUGUUGACAUAAUACUGUCAAUCUGUUAACAAUCAGGAUAAACAAAAUCAUUAUAUCUGCAGAAAUACGAGACUGGCAUUAGCCAUAAAAAAAGAAAAAUAACAGAAACUGAGAGCGAAACACAACUUAAUUUUUAGCCAACACCUAGCAUUACACUAAGGACUAAGAAGGGAAUAUAAAAUAUAAAUUACAGCAAAUACAGAACUUGUGAACAAAGCCUUAAAUCCCAAAUACAAAAAGGAUCGAGCUUGAAGAACAACUAGGAUGAUAGUGGUGUGCUGGUAGUGGCGAGAAAAAGAAAGCCAAAUGUAAACAGAUUUUAAUUUUAACUCAAGUCACAGCAGUGACAGAAUACAGCUGUCCAAGAGAAACCAGUUAUUGAUACCAAGCGAAGCAUAAAACUUUACUGCAAAUUCCCUAAAUAAUAAAAUCACCAUAGAUACUACCAAAUUGCAAUACCAAACAGAUAGGAGUUGCAAUAUCAAUUGUUUAAUCCACUAAACAACCAAUGUCAGCCAACUAUUUUAGUCAAUCCACUGUUCUUGACCAAAAUAAAUGCAAGCACCACACAUCGUACAUCAGAAUAAAAGAAGAGAAGCAUGGCUUCAGUUGAAAUUGACCAUCAUAAAACAGUUUGCAGAAUGAGUAACAUACUUCAUCCAUGAAAAUCACAGAUGGCUGUCUGGAUAUAGCAACAAUAAAAAGAGUACGAACAAGCUUUUCAGCCUCUCCCACCUAAUUCAUUACAAGUAAAAAAAAUCAUUAGACAAUCUUUAGAAGGACGCAAAGAGCCAAGAACACAAGGCAGAAUGCUUUUCUUUUCCUGAUUUUAGUAAGGAAAAAAGAAGAAGAAGAAUAGUACCCAUUUUGAUGUUAGGGAAGAUGCUGAAACAUUAAAGAAUGUAGCUUCAGACUCUGAAGCAACUGCUUUGGCGAGCAUGGUUUUCCCAUUGCCAGGUGGACCAAAGAGAAGCAGACCUGAAUAACAAAGAUCGAGAGUUAUUAUUGAUGAAAUAAGAUCUUAAGUUUCAUAAUAAAUCUCAAUAUAUAAAUCUUUGUUACCUCUAGCAGGUUUCCGAAGGCCAGUGAACAAGUCUCUUCUCCUAGUUGGCAAAAUAACCAUUUCCAUCAAACUUUGUUUUGCCUUCUCAAGUCCAGCUGAAAAUGACUUACAUCACUAAGUCUAAAAUGUAAAAGUUAAAAAAGUUGCAAACAGAAACAAACAAAGAAAUUAGUUGUCGCAACUCCUUACCAACAUCUUCCCAUUUAACAGAAGGACUUUUAUCCACUAUUGCUGUGUUUAUCAUUUCAAUCAAUUUUGCAUCAUAGCCAUUACCAGAAUCUUGCCUUUGUUUCGAGGUUAUAGCUUUAUCAGUCUGAUUCUUGAUCACUGGAAUGUUUCUAGUGGAAUGAGCUGACUUCUGUGACAGGUCUUGUCUAGAAUUUGAUGAUGAAACUGCAGCAGUAGGCGCAUGAGUUAAGGUGUUCUGCAAAAAUUUUGGGAAAUAAAAAAACAUAUGGAUAAUAACAUAAUCAACAUCACUUGGAAAUCCAAAACAUCCAAAUUUUGCAGAUACUUCAAAAAGAAAAUGAUAAGCUUGUUGAGAAUCAAAACAACAACAAAAACAAGGAGAACAAUGUCGCAAGAAACUUUGCAAAAUUAGAUAUCUAGUUGUAGGUUCCAUCGAAUCCUGGAUUAAUCUUUAUUACAAACUGUACUUUGCUGUUUCUAUGGAAAACUUUAUCUGAAAAACAGGACCCAUUCUGGUUGUCGGCAGUUACUAUUAUGCAUUGAUUCCAGGUAAGGAUUUAAGUUUAAUCAAGUAUUUGAGGGUAGCUGUCUAGGCUAAAUGAAACAGAAUUACCUAUUCUGAUCAUGAGCUGUAGAGAAUUGGCAAUUUUCUAAGGAAAAAAAUAAUUCAGUGCUUACAUUUUUCUUUCUGCUCAAACAAUUACACGCAGUGAUUUUACUUUGACAUCCAUAUAUAUACUCGUGAAGCUGAAUUUUUGACAUCAUAAAUGACUGCAAGAAGACAUCCAUUUCUAGCAAAGGGAGUAUCCACAUAUCCAUAUUAAAUUCCCUUCACAACAAUUGUAGUCCAUAGAGACUCUUCAGUAUACAUAAAAACCUAAAAUUCCUAAAUACACAUUGUCAGCAGUUUUAAAAUCAGGUUCAAAUUGCAAGCAGCACCUAGAGGUUUUGAUAUAGUAAGAAAGAAUUCCAAAGUUCAACACCACUAGGCUACAAACAAAAUCCUACCCUUAUUCGAACCAUAAGAAACCAACUCCCUUCAUUAAAUGUUCAGUCAGUCUAUAAAAAACAUCAAAAUCCACAAAAAAUUAAAAGAUUACUUCUUUUUAAAUAUAAACUUACAGUGGAGCCAAACCAAACCAUACCUUGCUCGUUGAAGUUCCAGCUGAUAAAAAAACAAGAGAAAAAAAGAGGUAUUAAUAUCAUCACUCUACAUCAAUCAUUUCAAUUACCAGAAAUUGUUUUCUUCUUAAAAAAAAAUAAUAAAAAAAGAGCUUGCCAUAAUCAAUUCAUGUCUAGAAUGAUUACCUCCUCGCCGAUUUAAAACUUGUAAUCUCUCAGAAACUUGACCUUGCCAUUUGGAUAUUUUUUGUCGAUACGAUUUCACCUUCUCCAGCUCCCUAUUUUGAACAAUUUAAAAAAUAAAAAACCCAAUAGUUAUUAGCUACAAAAGAAAAAAAUCAAUCAGGUUAAUUACAAUUUCUUAAUUGAAAUUACCUAGGGCUAAUAUAAGAAGGCGAAGGUGUAGAGGCAGCUUCGAUGAGAAUCCGUUGAGCGUUUUUGUAAUAAACAAUGGCGUCAUCAAUUAAUCCCCAUUCUUCAGCUCUAACGGCUUUAUCGAUCUCUUCCGUGGCUAGAUCGAAGUAUCCUUUCAGUUUGUACGCGAUUCGUUCGUUAGAAACCCUAGUGCCAGGGUCCAUGCCGUCCAUUGGAGUAGAGGUCGACGUAGAGUUAGGGUUUUGGUGUUGUGAGUGUGAGUCUUCUUCAGGAACUGAGAAGAUUGUACUUAGCGAGUCGAUUAUGCCUUUCAAGAAGCUCAUUUCUCUAAGAAGAAGCCGGGCAUGGAAGACAGAAAAAGAAGUCAUGUCAGAGAUUCGAGAGAGAUGAUUAUCAAUGGGCCGGCUACUGGUCAAAAAUAAUAAAAAAAGAGCAGAACAUCUUACUGCUGGGCCUCAGAAUAAGGACUGGUUAUGUAUGGCUCAAGUAUCUACUUCAACCUUAAAAGUUAAAAGCAAGCCGUCUCAGCCUGCAAUGGAGUCUAAUGGGUUUGUAUGCACAUUAUGCAACGCCCAACACUUUACCGUCAGGCUAGGAUAUAGGAUAUGCGGGUGGCAUGUGUUUGUUAAAAAUUUGAUUUUUUUUUGGUUUAAUAUUAAUUCUUUAAUAUUUUUAGAUUUUUUUAUACGUUAAUAUCAAAAAUAAAAUUUUUAAAAAUAUUAUUUUAAUAUAUUUUUAAAUAAAAAAUACUUUGAAAAACAACUACUAUCAUAAUAUCAAAAACUAUCUAUGCUCAAUUAUUUUUUUGGAUAACCAUGGAUGUCCGAGCUAGCAUACGCACAUCUCGAUUAAUCUCCCAAGACCUUGAAGUUAACAACAAUGUAAGUCUCCAGUAGUCCUGAGAUUUGUGAGAUUCGAACUAGUGAUUCUGAACAGCAAACCCAAAACCUGACCAAUUAAGCUACACUUCUCGAAAUAUAUAUGCUCGGGUUCUAUAAUAAAUGGUGAUGGCAAAUUAGAAAUAGGAUCGGGUUGUGCCAUUAGAUUGGGUUUUGCUAGUACCCGUCAGUCUGCUUGGGUUCAGCAGAGGACUUUAUUCCCUUACCAAGACUAGAAAAUUUAAUGAUGGGCAAGCAUUAAAAAGAUGGCUCAACAAUAGGAUUUUCCAGCCUGAAUCACCAUUCAAAUUCGUCAUGUUUCAUGUCUGUAUGUUCCCUAAGUUUUUUGCGCGCACAAUUUAUUGAAUGAAAACGUUCAACGAAAAUUUUCAGUGCUGAUUUGAAAUACACGCGCGUGUGUCCCUUCAAAUCAACAACGGAGAAUUGCCGAGUAGCAAUGGAUAUUUCGUUGCUGAUCAAUCAGUAAAGCACAAAUACUGUCCAUCGCUAAUUUUUACCGGCAACGGAUUCUAGUUGUCCGUUGCUGAUCAUACCAUUUUUUUUAGUAGCGUGGCAUUCACCAUCAGGGGCUAUUCGAAAGAUAUAUACCCUUCAGAAAGUAUAAUGUGUUUGAUUAGUGCAGAAGAUAUUGAUUAAUCACAGGAAUUAUUACUUAAUACGAUGCAUAUAUAAAAUGACGAGUCUCCGAUUCCUUAACGCAGAAGGUGUUGAUUAUUUCAUAAACAAAAGUAAUCGUGCCUUGCCAUUCAAAGGUAUAUAUUAUAUUUUAGUUGCUGCAGUGGUAAAAAAAAGAAGAAGAAGUCAUUACCUGAAGAAAAAGUCAUCUUAUCUUAUCAUAUUAAAUUGCUUGUUUAGUAUUGAGGAUGAAUAUGCUUUUUUUUUUUUAAUUAAAAUUUAAAAUUUUAUUUAUUUUAAAUUAAUAAUUUUAAUAUUUUUGAAUUAUUUUAAUAUAAAUUAAAAUAAAAAACAACUUCUAUUGGAUCUGAUGAUCAGUGUACCGUAAUCAAACUCUGAUUUAGUAUUCGUGAUUUAGCAAGCAUAAUGGACCUUACUGUUGAAAUUAUCAUAAAGACCAUAAAUAUUUGUUUGCUUGCAGCUGUUUCCUUCCUGCAUUUCACUUUCGAUGAUGCAACCUAAGCUUUCUGAUAAUACUGAUUAUAUAUUUAGCUUCGUAGACAACUUGAGCUGCACAAACUCUCACCACAAGAAAUGGGCAUUCUCUUCACCAUCUUCACCGUCACCGCAGCAGGACUUCUCUUUAUCAUUAUAAGCUUCUUGUAUCUCACAUUUCAAACCUACUCAGGAAAAUCCAUCAAGAACCCCAACUAUCCACCAGUAAAUGGCACGGUAUUUGGCCAGCUCUUCUACUUCAACAGGCUCUAUGACCACCAAACUGAAGUUGCCAGGAAACAGAAGACUUUCCGGCUUCUUGCUCCAGGCCAGAGUGAAUUGUACACAACUGACAUAAGGAACAUAGAGCAUGUAUUAAAAACAAAAUUUGAUAAGUAUACAAAAGGUAAGUAUAAUCAAGAUAUUGCAACUGAUCUUUUUGGUAAAGGUAUAUUUGCUGUUGAUGGAGACAAGUGGAGGCAGCAGAGGAAGCUUGCUAGCUUUGAGUUCUCGACGAGAGUUCUUAGAGAUUUUAGCUGCUCUGUGUUCAGAAGAAAUGCUGCUAAACUUGUCAGAGUUGUCUCCGAGAUGGCUAUUGCUGAUCAGAUUUUCGAUAUGCAAGUAAGUUCAACUGUUUUUCUUUUUUCUUUUUUUAAUUGGAUUGAUUAGACUAAUUUAAAAUUGGAUAUAUAAAUGUUUGGAUCUUAUUAGUAGAGAAGGAUGGUAUAAGAGGGAAUAAAAUUUCUGCAAGUGUUCUGAAAUUGUACAGUUUUAGUCCAUAAGAACUGAUCCAUAGAAUAAAGUUCUGAAAUUGUGAUCAUUUUCAAUGUGUGGGUUUGACUUCGUAAGCCAAACAGGUUCUCCAUAGUUUUUGUUUUUUAAUUAACAGGUAUCAUUUAUCUUCUAUUGACAUAGCACAGAAAAGAACACUUCAUCUGAUCUGGUAUUUCCCAUUGGUAGGAUACACUGAUGAGAUGCACUUUGGAUUCUAUAUUCAAAGUUGGGUUCGGAGUGGAACUGAAUUGCUUGGAGGGGUCAAACAAAGAGGGAAUCGAAUUUAUGAAGGCCUUCGAUGAUUCAAAUGCCUUGGUCUAUCGGCGCUAUGUAGAUCCACUGUGGAAACUGAAAAGGUACUUCAACAUUUGCUCUGAAGCUUCCCUUAAGAAGAACAUCAAAAUCAUUGAUGAUUUCGUGACCAACCUGAUCGGAACAAAGAGAAAACUACAAGCCGAGGAACGACUUUAUGUGAGUGUUUCUAGUGCUGGACAAUUCCCUUUAGUGAAUUUAAAGAACUUUUACCUGUUCGGUUGUUCAAGAACUGACCAACAUGUAUUGAUAAUUGAAGAACGACAAGGAGGAUAUACUGUCAAGGUUUUUGGUGGAGAGCAAGAAAGACGCCGAGGAAAUGAAUGAUAAGUAUCUGAGGGAUAUAAUUCUGAAUUUUAUGAUUGCUGGCAAAGAUACCAGUGCAAAUACCCUGUCAUGGUUCUUCUAUAUGCUUUGCAAGAACCCGCUAAUCCAGGAAAAAGUCGCGCAAGAAGUGAGAGAUGUCACAAGCAGUCAAGAUGAUGUGGUUAAUGUUGAAGAGUUCAUUGCAAACAUAACAGACACAACACUCGAGCAAAUGCAUUAUCUUCACGCAGCGUUGACAGAGACCUUGAGGUUAUACCCUGCUGUUCCUGUGGUAAAUUUUCAGAGAACUCAUGGACUUCAAAAUUCUUUAAACUAUAUAUAUUAUUUUUUAUGGGCGAUAGUGGUUGUUUUAUAGACGCAUCAAGAGAAUCACUGAUGCGAUUAUGCUAGUAACAUGGUUUUUUGGUCUCAAGGACGGGAGGUGUGCAGAAGUGGAUGACAUUCUUCCUGAUGGCUUUAGAAUGAAAAAGGGUGACGGACUAUACUACAUGGCAUAUGCCAUGGGUAGGAUGCCUUACAUUUGGGGAGACGAUGCCGAGGAUUUUCGGCCAGAAAGAUGGCUCAACAAUGGGAUUUUCCAACCUGAAUCACCAUUCAAGUUCAUAGCAUUUCAUGUUAGUAUCUUCUCUUCGUUUGUUGCAGACAUAACGUGUCAAACAAUUUCCGAAGUUGUUGGUUGUCCCCUUGCAGGCAGGUCCUCGGAUAUGUCUGGGCAAAGACUUCGCGUACCGGCAGAUGAAGAUACUAUCAAUAGCCCUUCUUCGGUUCUUCCGCUUCAAAUUAGCUGACGACACAAGAAAAAUAACUUACAGGACAAUGUUCACACUUCACAUUGAAGGAAGUCUGCAUCUUCGUGCUAUUGGAAGGACCAAGUCAUGAAGAAAAAAUAUGUCAAGCAAAUAAUUAUGGCCUGGUGAAUCUUGUUUGUACUGUAUACAUUGAUACACAUAUCAACUAAACAACUGUGAUUUCUACCGGUAUGUUAGCUGCUGCUGUCGGACGACUUUGUCACCUUGGUGAUAAAAUUUGCGGGGAAAAUUUUCAUUUGUCCUAUUUUCCUUUUCUAAACUAUGUGCCACCAGAAACAAGCAGCUUGAAUUUAUCUAAUAAUCGUUAUCAAGCUUUAAUUUAGCAUUAGUGACUUUAAUUUGAAUCAUCACUGUCCAGAUAUUCCUUGUGCAAAAGAUAAGGAGUGCUCCGUUCUGUUUCGUUCAUGUCAUUUUCCUAGCUUCCACAUCCAAAAGUUACAGCGCAUGGGAUGUUUCCAGGCUAAGCUUUAAAGCUAUUCCCCUACACAUAUUUGCCUUAUCUCAACAACCAUUCAUUCCAAGAAAUGGACAUUCUCUGCCAUCUUCACCUUCACAGAAACAGCACUUCUCUUUAUCCCCUCAACCUUCUUGUUUUUAGCACUCAAAAUCUUUGCUGGCAAAUCUACCAACAAUCCCAACUAUCCACCAGUUAAAGGCACAAACUUUAACCAGCUUCUCUACUUCGACAGGCUCUAUGACUGUCAAACUGAGCUUAUCGUUUCUAACUCUGGAGUGAUUGUGUAUUCUUUGAUGAUGUAUAUCAAUUUCUUUUAUAUAUAAUCAAGUAUUGAAAAUAUUUAUCCCAAUACAAUAAUAAAAUUAAUGAAUAUAUACUUUUAAAAGAUAUUUUUCCUUAUUAAAAGACAUAAAAAAAUUCAUUUACUUAAAAAAAUAAAAGAAAAAUAGCUCAGCUGGUCUCAUCAAACUAUAGAUGAAAGAUCUAUAUACUCACCAUCCAAAAAUUCAUUCACUACUAGACCAUAAAUAAAUCUUCAAGAGAAAACUUUUCACUGAAAGCUAAUAGAACCAUCCAAAAAUACAAAGCAAGAUUUAUUGUUAAAUGUUUCAAACAACAAAAAAAAUAUAAAUUAUUUUGCUACAUACUCACCUAUGUUAAUAAUAACUUUUAUAUGAACAUUAAUAGUUAUUACAACUAUUAACAAAUUAGAAAUAUAUUAAAUUGAUGGGAAAAUAGUUUUUUAAAUGAUGAUUUUGAUGGAGAGGCUUAUAUGUGUUAAAGCAAUCUUUUAACAACUAUUAAUGAGCAUAAUUGGAUUUGAAAAAGUUGUGUUUGAGAUUAAGUCUCAUUUCAUGAAACCAACUCUGAUAUCAUGUUAAAGCAAUUCAAAUUAACAAAAAACAAAUACAAACAUAUGAGAGAAAGAGGCUAGAGUUUUCAUUAAUCACAAUAUUCUGAAUUGUUUAAUUAACCUAAAUACAAAGAGAUUAUAUAUAGGUUAAACCGAAAAUACUAUUCUACCCUUAAUAAAUAAAACAAGAUAAAUACAUAUAUAUAUUUCUUAACAAUAUGAACAUUAAUAGUUGUUACAACUAAGAGGUUUAUUGUUAAAGAAAAAGAAAAAAAAAAGAUUUUAAACUUGUUAAGUUAUUAUAUGGUUUGAAACAAGCUUCUAAACAAUUACAUGAAAAGUUUGAUAAUGUUAUAUUGUUAAAUGAGUUUAAAAUCAACAAGGUUGAUAAACAUAUUUAUGUAAAAAAUACAGAUAAAAGUUAUUGUAUGUAUUUAUAUUGAUGGAUGUUAAUUUUGGGUAACAACAAAUAUGAGAUCAAGUUUCUCAAAAAAAAAAAAAAAAAAUUAACUAAUAUGUUUGAUAUGAAAGACUUUGAUAUUGUAGAUGUAUACUAAAAAUAAAAAAUUUAUAGGAUAGAUUAAUACUGUCUUAAUUUUAUUAUGUUGAGAAAAAUUUUUAAUUUUUUUUCUUCUAAAAAUGACAAUAACACUAUCAAAACAUUCAUGAAUAUAAGUAUAUAUUUGUCAAAAAAAAACAAAGUUGAAGAAAUACUACAUUUGAAAUAUUCCCAAAUUAUUUGAACCUUGAUGUAUAUUAUGAAUUGAACAAGAUCAAAUAUUGCAUAUUUAGUUAACAAAUUAAGUAGAUUUAUCAAUAAUUGAAGUUUGAAUCAUUGAAAAACAAUAAAUAAAAUACUCAAAUACUUGAGAUAUAUUUUAGAAUAUGUACUAUACUAUACUAAGUACCCGACAAUACUUAAGAAAUAUAGUAAUAUGAAUUAAAUAUUCGACGUUAAGGAUUCAAAAUCUAUUAAUGGAUAUAUUUUCAUACUUGGUGAAGCAAUUAUGUCUGGGAAGUCCUCCAAAAAAACAUGCAUCGUAAGAUUCAUGAUAAAAUUAGAGUUUAUCAUUCUGGAUAAAAUUAAAAAAAAAGCUAAAUGACUUUAAAUUUUUCAGAGGAUAUUUCAUGUUGACCAAACCUAGUAUCAACAAUUUAUAUUCAUUGUGAUAGCUAGUUGAUAAUUGGAAUGACACGGACUAACAUGUAUAAUAAUAAGUCUAUAUAUAUACAUAGUAAAUAUAGUAUUAUUAAACAUUUUUUCUCUAAUGAAAUUAUUUUUAUUAAUUAUAUAAGAUUAAAGAAAAAUAUUAUGAAUCCAAUAUAUAAUUUAUGGAGAAAAAUAGACUUAAGAAUUACAAAGAUAAAAGAAUAUCAUGAUCGGAGAUUCUAAGAUUUAGUUUUAAUUAAUGGCGAUUUUAGCAAACAAAGAAACCUGGUUUCUUUCUAUACCCUUUUACAUAUUUAUGAAGAGAGCUCAAAUGAGAUACUUUCCUUGGAAACAAGGCUUCAAAUUGCGUCAGGAAUGGCUCGAGACUUGUCUUACUUGAAUAGAAUUGGAGAAGCCAAGAAUUUGAGUUUUUUUUUUUUUAAAUUUAAAUUAGCAUAGACGGUAAUUUUUUUUUGCAAACUAUUAUAAUUGAAAAAAAUUAGGAAAAUAACACUUUGGGCAGUUGAGAUAUUAAGAAAUUUAAUAGGUUGCACUAUUCUCAAUAGCACAACUUAAUAUAAUUAAAAGAAAUAAAUGGUUAUGAUACUGGGAUUAGCACAACCAUUAAAAAUAUAUAUAAAAAAAUUAAAGAAUUGUACUACUAGAAAAAUUGUAAGAGUUGCACUACUCCCUGUUAAUUGUGCUAUUAAAUUUAAAUUGGUACAUAGGAGGUGUUUGAUAUUACCGUCCAACUAAGUUUUUGAAAAUAUUCUAUCUUUUUAGUUUUAAAUUUUUUUUUGUAUAUGUUUUUAAAUUAUUUUGAUAUAUUAAUAUCAAAAAUAAAAUUUUAAAAUAAAAAUAAAAUUUUAAUGUAUUUUCAAACAAAAAAUACUUUAAAAAGCCAUUUUUAUCACAUUCCCAAACAGGUACUUAAGCCGUGUUUGUUUUUGCGGUGUUUUUGCGCUUUAAAAAAAUAUUUUUUUUUUCAAAUUAAUUUUUAUGUGUUUUUGAAUUAUUUUGGUGUGUUGAUGUUAAAAAUAAAUUUUAAAAAAUAAAAAAAAUAUUAUUUUAAUAUAUUUUUAAAUAAAAAAUACUUAAAAAAAUAAUUUUAAUUAUAAAUAUUAUCCUCGUGCUGGUCAUAGACCACUAUUUUCGUGUACAAGGGUCUCUUCCUAUCCAUUACAAAGAAAGAACACGCUAAAACUAACAAUCAGGGGACGACGAUUAAUUCAAUCUAGACAUGUCUAUGCACCGUCUGAUAUUAGAACACCAAUAUUAGGAUAUGGCAAUAGGCGUGACGAUCUAAUAGUUAAUUUUUUUUUUUAAUUUUAAAUAUUUUUUUUAUAUUUUUGAAUAAUUUUGAUAUAUUAAUAUUAAAAAUAAAAUUUAAAAAAUAAAUAAAUUUAUUUUAAUAUAUUAAAAAAAUACUUUAAAAAAUAACAUUUAAAAAAACAAUAAAGAAAGAGGAACGACACGGAGGAAGAUACAUUGGAGGGGUAGCAGGGGUUCUUCAAGUUUUGUUUUUUAUGAAAUAAAAAAGGAUGAAAGUCGAAUCCAUUUAAAUAUGAACAACCACCUUCCUUGUUUCACAUGGUGUUAGCUUCAACAUGGCCUCCAUUGACUCUCUCUCUAAUCCAUUCACCCUCUCAGCUUUAGUUCUAAUCCUAUCUAUUUUCACAGUCCAACUCUCCAUUAGAAAGUUGAACAAAAAGCAGGAAAAACACAAGUACCAUCCAGUUGGUGGCACGGUGUUUAACCAACUUCUCAACUUCAACAGGUUGCAUCAUUACAUGACUGAUCUUGCUGGGAAAUACAAGACUUACAGGCUGAUCGCCCCCUUCAGAAGUGAGGUUUACACGGCUGAUCCUGUAAAUGUUGAGUACAUACUCAAAACCAACUUCGAAAAUUAUGGCAAGGUAUCUAUUUCUUCUUACUGUGAUCUAUUUCGUUAAUAUCAGUACCAAAUGCUUGGUCCCUGUUUUUAUGAUGUGGACUGUGUAAGAUUAGCCUGAUGAAUUCAACACCCAGUUUUGAAUAUUCUCAAAAACCCUGCUAGUACUGUCGAUACUCGACGAUACAAGAAAACUUUGGAGAAUCCAAAAUUAGGGGUUAGAAUUUGAGAAUUUGUUUUGACUGUUCACUUUUCCAUGGGGAUUAGAUUCCAAUGGCUGAAAGGGUAAUGGUUUAGCUUGCUCAAACUUUGUGCAGGGGGACCAUAAUUACAACAAUCUAAGUGGGUUACUAGGUGAUGGGAUAUUCACUGUUGACGGUGACAAAUGGCGCCAGCAAAGAAAGGUUUCGAGCCAUGAGUUCUCCACAAAGGUUUUGAGGGACUUUAGCAGUGUGGUCUUCAGGAAGAAUGUGGCAAAACUUGCUAAUAUAGUGUCUGAAGCUGCAAAAGCUAACCAGUCAAUGGACAUACAGGUUAGUCUUUGAUCCAAUGUCAUAGAGUAAACAUCAUGAAAUGAUUUUCAAAUUGCGUGACCUCUUCAGCAGGACGGAUCCAAGAUACAAUUUCAGUCGGUAAGUAUAUACCUAAAUUAAUUAAGAUCUGAAAAGGUCAAAAAUUAUAAGUUAUUAAUAUAAAGUUAAAAAAUUUACAUAUAUUUUAAAAAGUUACUCCACAAAAUUCUAUUUUUUUUAUAAUUCACAGUUAUUCCGUACGAGACUUCAUGUAUUGAAAACGUUGUAAGAUGUUCUCAUUAUCAACAUUUUCAAAUAUCUCUUUUUCAAUAUAAAUAACCAAACAAUCAUUUAACAAACCAUCCUUAUAACUAGCCAUAAACUAUUUAUUUUAACCAUCCAACACAUAACCAUAAAUUAUUUAUUUCAUCAAUUUCUCACAAUUUUUUUCUAAGUUACAUUGAAAAUUCAACUACAACUAAACAACACAAUUAAAUGCAUUUCAAUUAUUGUAAACAAAACAACACAUAUUAAAUACAUAUAACUAACAAACAUUUACUUUGGUUUUAAGAGUUCUUAUCCCCCGCUUAUAUGACCGGCCCUACUUUCACUACCAACACCUAAUUUUUCUUCUUCAAUUGUGCUUUAUUUAAAGCCGUUUACAUCCUAUUAUUCCAAGAACAUCAUAUUUUCAUAAUUUCACUUUUCUUAAUUUAAUAUUUAAGAACUCUAAUUCAAAAUUUAAGAAUUUUGCAUAAAUUUUGUUAAUUUUUACUUAAACUUAUACAAUCGAGUUUAUAAUGUCUUGCCCAAUAAUAAUAUAUGGAAUUCGAAUGUUAACUAGUCAAAGUUUUCUGCUUCUCUUUUUUUCUUUUAAUGUCGUGAGUUUUCUCUCUAUUUCUUUUCUCUCACUUGAUUUUCUCUUUAAUUAUUGAGUUAGAUAUGUUCAAUGUUGGAAAAGAAGGAUAUGGUGUGGUAACUAAUUUAUAAGAACAUACACAAGAACAAAGCUAAAGAACAAGAAGAAGAAUGAGAUGAAUGAUAUUUUUAUUAAAAGUUUUUUUAAAAAAUAAACCUUUAUAGCUCUUCUUUAUAUCUCUCUAUACUUGUGUAUUAUGUUUAAGAUUAUAACCUUAUUUAUAGGUCCCGAGUCUUAGAUAAUCAAGGAAUUAAACUAUUCAAAGGAAAUCCUAAUCUAAUAAGUAAUGUAACAUUCUAAUUAAACAGUAUUCUAAUAAACUAGUCUAUUACAAAUCCUUCUUCAUCAAGGAUUCCUACAUUAAUUAGGAUUCCUCAUUUAGAUAAUAUUAAAACUCUUACAAACUCUAAAUCCUAGUUAAUAUUGAACUUCAACAUUCAAUACUCACUACCUCAUCUAUAUCUUGGUUCCUCUUCAGGGUUUUAGUAAAGAAUCUCUCAAUUUUUUUUUCUUUUCUAAUGUUUUUUAGCAUUGGCUAGCAGCUUCAAAGGGAAGAAGAAGCUGAAUUUCCAGUUUUUCAAGCUUAUUUAUGAAAUGAGCUUACAUGUUAUUUUUAGUCCGACUAUUGAUAUUCUCGCAUGGCCUUUUUAAAUUUAGAAUAACCUAAAGUUUUAACCCAAGAUAGAGCAAUGUAUCAGGAGGCUCCUCAUAAACUUUCAGCCCAAUCUGAUGACCGGAUUGAAAAUUAUGCUUGAUAGUAUAAAAUUGAUCAGUAAGUGAUUUUACAUCAAAAUUCAAAUUUUCUUAUUUAAUCAUUGCUAGAACCAUAUCAGUUGUUUUAAUAAGUUCUCAAAGCCAUUUUCUUAUUUCAAAAUAUAUUUAUUUUUUCUUUUCAUCAUGUUUCAUUUACAUGCUUACUAUAAUUUCACGGUAACGUUACCGAUUUUUAACCGAGGCUUCAACCAACACUUUUUCACAUAGUUCUUUUUCAACUUUUAUUUUUCAUUUCCGUUUUAAUUCCUUGAAAUUAUUUUCUUAUCAUCAAAACACAUCCAUUCAAUUUAUUUUUUUUAAUUCUUCUAUCCAUUGAAACCGUUACCGGUUUUGGCAUGAUAUAUAUUUCAUUUGAAUUUUUUUUGACAGCGUGGGCAAGUGCCCACAUUGCCCACAUUCUGGAUCCGUCCAUCCUUCUAAGCUUAACUAGUUGUGCAGGAUCUGUUUAUGAAAUCAACCUUAGAUUCGAUAUUCAAAGUUGCAUUUGGGGUUGAGCUAGACAGCAUGUGUGGAUCCAAUGAAGAAGGUGUCAAAUUUACCAGUGCUUUUGAUGAUGCAAGUGCAUUGACCCUUUGGCGAUAUGUUGACGUGUUCUGGAAAAUCAAGAGGUUUUUUAAUAUUGGAUCGGAAGCUGCAUUGAAGAAAAACGUCAAAGUGGUUAAUGACUUUGUGUAUAAACUAAUCAAUAAAAAAAUUGAGCUAAUGCGUAACUCAGAAGAAGUUUCUUCUGUGAGUAUCUCUCCUUGAAACUAUUAUUUCUGAUAGAUUGCAGAGGCAUGAAUUUUACUUGAUCUUACAUGGAAAAUGCAGUUAAAGAAAGAUGACAUUUUAUCAAGGUUCCUGCAAGUGACCGAGAGUGAUCCAACAUACUUACGGGACAUAAUUCUCAAUUUUGUGAUUGCUGGAAAAGACACAACAGCAGCUGCUCUAUCAUGGUUCAUCUACAUGUUGUGCAAGUAUCCAGCCGUGCAGAAAAAGGUUGCACAAGAAGUAAGAGAAGCAACUAAAGUGAAAGAGAUCACAAAUUUUGCAGAAUUUGCAGCCAGUAUUAAUGAUGAAGCUCUAGAAAAGAUGAACUAUCUCCAUGCAGCAAUUACUGAAACUCUUCGACUGUAUCCAUCUGUGCCUGUGGUAAGAAGAAAUUAUGUGCACUUGCAAUUCCUGGCUGCAAGAAACAACACAAAUAAAUUUGUGACUAUUUACGAAUUCUUCAAGACUGAAACUACGAUUCUUGAGAAAUAAAUGCCUUCAAUUCUCGCAGUAUACUUGAUGUUUCAACAUGCUUGUAUAGAGUUAAUAAUGCUUCCUGGAUAAUUGUAUAAUUUUUUUGUUUCUGCAUCUCAAAAUUCUUUGCUUUGCAGGAUGCGAAGGUUUGCUUUUCUGAUGACACUCUACCAGAUGGCUUUAAUGUGAGAAAGGGAGAUAUGGUGGCUUACCAACCUUAUGCAAUGGGCAGGAUGAAGUUCAUAUGGGGCGAUGAUGCUGAGGAAUACAAGCCUGAAAGAUGGCUCAAUGAGGAUGGCGUGUUUCAGCAAGAAAGCCCUUUCAAGUUUACAGCUUUCCAGGUUAGUGGAAAUAAAGAUCUGUCUAAUUCACUUGAUUAACAUUCAAAUAAAUUUUCUGCUGCCUUUGCUGUGCAAAUCAUUAAGAUCUAUUUUCAGUGCUUGCUCAGCUUAACUUUAUGGACUCCCAAUCUCGUUGACCAAAUGACUAAAAUCUGCCUUUCUGCUGGUUAACAGGCAGGGCCACGGAUAUGUCUUGGGAAGGAAUUUGCUUAUAGGCAGAUGAAGAUCUUCGCGGCUGUCUUGUUGGGCAGUUUCAUUUUUAAACUCGCUGAUGAAAGGAAACCUGUCAAUUACAGGACAAUGAUUAAUCUUCAUGUUGAUGGAGGCCUCCAUGUUUGUGCCCUCCACAGAGACAGUGCUUAGCUCAGUAUAUCUGUAAUGGUAUUACAUCAAUAAACAUGGGCGUAAAACCCAGCCCAAACCAUCCAAGGUAAAAGAGGUUAAACAAUGUUUUCCUGGUAAAGCAAAGACUUGAAAAAUCAGAGGAUUUAUAUGGAUCUGUGGGGAAAAUAAAUCCAUGUUUGUUCAAGGAACUGGCAUUGAAGACCCCUCGGUUUGAUUUAGAGGUGGAUUUGGAUAUAAAUCUAUUACUAAUAGGCACAAUAAUUCCAUCGUUUAUUGACCCCCAUAAGACGACAAGACGGAUCAUGCACCUUCUUAAGCAACUGCAGAGAUCUCUGAACUUGUUUAAACAACAGAAUAUCCAUUAAUUCAUAUAUAAAUAUGAAACAAUGAAGCUAUACCUUAGAAGGGGCAGUAAGCUUUGGGGGAGCUUGGACCACAUCUCCAAACUGUAUCUGCUCACGUCCAGGAAAGUCCUGACUCUCCUCGGAUUUCUUUGUUUUUCUUCCACAUAUUAAAAUGUGAUCAUGUAGAUGUUCAACAACCAUAUGCUUGAACAUGCCUGUGAAUGGGGUUUAGAUACUAAAAUUUGAAUUCACAUGCAGCCAAAUUAGAAAUGAAAUUGAACAGAAUUUCAAGUACACCAAGUCCACUACAUGAAUCCUUGUAGCAUCCUCUUCAAACUAGAGAAAAAACCUACAGGGGCCAUAAUAGAGUGAUAUCCUCCACUAAGUCCUUGGCAAGUUUAAUGCAUUAACCCGUAGCCUUAACAUUCUGCCCGCGGCAAUUAUAAGUGCAUGCCCCCCUAACAAAAAUCCUACCGUUGAUCCAAAAUUCUUGGAAACUCUGUGUCGACCAGCUGACCACAAACACAUCAGGUCCGAGUAUUGCACUCGAAACAAAUAGUUAACAUUUCUAAAAAUAAAAUGCAGACAUAAAUAGCUGUCAUGAAGUAGCUUUCAUUGCAAAAAUUAGGUUAGUCACAGGCACUACCAUUACAAAAAUCACAUUAGCUUCCUGAGUAAAAGGUUUUCCCUGUAAAAAUGAGAUAACAAGAUGAGACCCAUGGCACAUACUUGCUCAUACUUAAUACAUCCCAGAGAGAGUCUGAGGGCCACAUCAUGAGUUAGAUGCAGAACUAGCAAACUCAGUAUCUAGCUCCUUCCUCAUAUGAGUGAAUCAGUGAAAGCACUCUACUCAGCAAAGCCUUAUUCCCAAACAUAGUUGUGAUCAGUUACAUGGAUGAUUUCCCUCUACUCUAUUCUGUAUUAGCCAACUUUCUACAUGUUUCAUGGUGGUAUAAGUACCCAAUUCUAAAGCAAUUUUAGCAAUGUAAAACAGUCAUAAUGACAAAAACUUCAAGAAGUCAAGUUUCAAGUGAGCAUGAACUUUCACCACAAGAGUUCUCCGCGAACAAUUUUCGACCAAUCUAAUUCAAUGUUUAACUUUACGUAGCUAAUAACACAGACAUGCAUGUUGAAAGAAAUCAAGCAUUACUCCCAAGUUGUCAAGAAUUCACAAGAACUAGAGGUGUGCAGAAGUGGAUGACAUUCUUCCUGAUGGCUUUAGAAUGAAAAAGGGUGACGGACUAUACUAUAUGGCAUAUGCCAUGGGUAGGAUGCCUUACAUUUGGGGAGACGAUGCCGAGGAUUUUCGGCCAGAAAGAUGGCUCAACAGUGGGAUUUUCCAACCUGAAUCGCCAUUCAAGUUCAUAGCAUUUCAUGUUAGUAUCUUCUCUUCGUUUGUUGCAGCCAUAACGUGUGAAACAAUUUCCGAAGUUGUUGGUUGCCCCCUUGCAGGCAGGUCCUCGGAUAUGUCUGGGCAAAGACUUCGCGUACCGGCAGAUGAAGAUACUAUCAAUAGCCCUUCUUCGGUUCUUCCGCUUCAAAUUAGCUGAUGACACAAGAAAAAUAACUUACAGGACAAUGUUCACACUUCACAUUGAAGGAAGUCUGCAUCUUCGUGCAAUUGGAAGGACCAAGUCAUGAAGGUAAAAUAUGUCAAGCAAAGAAUUAUGGCCUGGUGAAUCUUGUUUGUACUGUUUACAUUGAUACACAUAUACAACUGUGAUUUCUACCGGUAUGUUAGCUGCAGAUGUCGCACGACUUUUUUCACCUUGGAGAUAAAAUUUGCAAGGAAAAUUUUCAUUUGUCCUAUUUUCCUUUUCUAAACUAUGUGCCACCAGCAACAAGCAGCUUGAAUCUAAUCAUCGUUAUCAAGCUUUAAUUUAGCAUUAGUGACUUUAAUUUGAAUCAUCACUAUCCAGAUAUUACUUGUGCAAAAGAUAAGGAGUGCUCCGUUCUGUUUCGUUCAUGUCAUUUUCCUAGCUUCCACAUCCAAAAGUUACAGCGCAUGGGAUGUUUCCAGGCUAAGCUUUAAAGCUAUUCCCCUACACAUGUUUGCCUUAUCUCAACAAUCAUUCAUUCCAAGAAAUGGACAUUCUCUGCCAUCUUCACCUUCACAGAAACAGCACUUCUCUUUAUCCCCUCAACCUUCUUGUUUUUAGCACUCAAAAUCUUUGCUGGCAAAUCUAUCAACAAUCCCAACUAUCCACCAGUUAAAGGCACAAACUUUAACCAGCUCCUCUACUUCGACAGGCUCUAAAUGGCCAAGAAACAGAAAACUGACCGCUUCCAACUCCGGAACAAAGUGAGGUGUCCACGCAUACAAGAAACACAGAGCAUGUGCUAAAAGCAAACUUUGAAAAGUAUAAUAAAGGAAAGCACAAUCAAGAUGUUUUUACUGAUUUUUUUUGUGAAUUGAAAUUGUUAUGAUAUCCCAUGUAAUCACCAUUGGAAUUCUGGUGCACACAUGCAUUGUAAUUAUACGUAAGUUAUGGUUUAACUAUUAAGUAAAGCUCUACAUAUUUCGAUCUAUAUAUAUAUAUAUUCGGUGGCCAACCAAUCAUAGACUUCAAAAUAACAGCAUAAAAAAUGGGCAUAUUAAAAAUAAUAUUACUUCCUCAAAUAUAAGUGAUAGUAUUGUUGUUGGUAUCGGAUAAUAAUCUAAAACCAUAUUAAAUUUAUAUAAUUUAUAACUAUUUGAACUAUAGCUAGUAAUAUCAAACAUUAACCAAUUCUCUCAUAUUCAAAAAAAAUAAAAAAAUACAUAAUUUAAUAAAAUUCAACCAUUCUCACGUAUUCUCUUAAAAUUAUUAAUUCUCACAAAUUCUCACAAAAAAUUAUCAAUUACAAAAAAAAAAAAAAUACAUAAUCACUAAAUACCCAAUUCAUUAAAUUUAUACGUAGUUGAUGUAAUUUAUAAAUUCAAUUGGUAUAAUAAUAUCUAAUUAAUAUAAUUUAUACCUAAGUUACUGGAUUCAGGUAAAAUAUAACAUCACAAAGUAAACCCUAACAUAACGAUAAACUUGUUAGUGUUACUCAAUUAACCGUCACUUUCCUUCCAACCUACACAGCGUUGUCUAUGUGAUUAUACUACUUCUACUGGGCAGAAUCCAUUAAAAUAUCAACAUCCAUCUUCCUUGUUUCACGUACUGUUCAACUCCAACAUGACCUCCAUUGAUUUUCUCCCUGAUCCGUUCAAAUUCUCAGCUUUAGUUCCAAUCCUAUCUGUACUCAUAGCCCAACUAUUCACUAGAAAAAUGAACAAAAAGCAGAAAAACACAAGUCACAUCCAGUUGGUGGCACGGUGUUUAACCACCUUCUCAACUUCAACGGGUUGCAUUAUUACAUGACUGAUCUUGCUGGGAAAUAUAAGACUCACAGGCUGCCAACCCCUUUCAGAAGUGAGAUUUACACUGCUGACCAUGUAAAUUAAUGUUGAGUACAAACUCAAAACCAAUUUUCAUUUGUCAUAUUUUCCUUUCCUAAAUUGUGUUCUACCUGUAUCAAGCAGUUCAAAUUUACCCGAUUAUCGCUAUCAAGCUUUCAUUUAGCAGUAGUGAUUUAGGACCAAUGAACUUUAAUCUGAAUCACCAAUAUUCAGAUAUUAAUCAUGCAAAAGACAAGGAGUGAUUCUUUCUGUUUGGCUCACGUCAUUUUCCUUGCUUUCUAGUACAGAAGUUACAGCGCAAUAAUGUUUAUAGACUAAGCUUUAUAGCUAUGGCCCUACCACGUAUUGACCUGAUCUCGACAAUCACUCAUUCCAAGAAAUGGACAUGCACCCCGCUAUCUUCACCUUCACAGCAACCGCACUACCUUCUUGUUUUGAGCACUCGACAAAAUCUGUACUGGCAAAUCUGUCAAGAAUCCCACCUAUAUACCAUUAAAAGCCACACUCUUUAACCAGCUCCUCUACGUCAACAGGCUCUAUGACUGCCAAACUGAACUUUCCUCUUCUAAACUUGGAGUGUAAUGUGCAUUUAUUAUAUUGGUUUUUAUACAUAAAUUAAAUACCAAGGAUUUUCAUUCUAAUAUAAAAGUGGAGUCAAUCGAAUGUUAUAAUCUUUGAAGAUAUUUUUUCUUAUAAAACUACAUAAGAAAUCCCUUUGCUUAAAAAAAUGAAAGAAAAUAGCUCAUGUAGCCUUCAUCAUACUAUAGAUAAAAGAUCUAUAAAUAACGAUGAAAUUGAGCUAAGGAGUAUUAUGAAGGUGGAAAUGAUAAAAACAUUUCAUUUUGAUUUUUUAACUUAGAAAAUAAGCCUAGAAGAUAAGAAUCAUUGAAAAAAUGAGAGCUAAUAGAAUCAUAAAAAAAAUAUAAAAAAAACUUGUUAUUAAAAAUUUCAAAUAAUAACAAAUAAGAAUUAUUUUGAUAUAUACUCAUCUAUGUUAAGAAUAACUCUUAUAUGGAUGUUAAUAAUCAAUUGUGCAGCUAUUAACAAGUUAGAAAUAUAUAAAAUUAAUAUAAAAAUAGUUUUUUUUUAAAUGAUGAUCUUGACGAAGAAGUCAAAUGGAACAACCUGGAGGGUUUGUUGUUUAAAAAAAAAAUGUAAACUGGUCAAAUUAUUAUAUAGUUUAAAAUAAAUUUUUAAACAAUGACUUAAAAAAUUUGACAAGUUUAUGUUAUCAAAUAAAUUUAAAAUCAACAGGGUUGAUAAAUGUGUUUAUGCAAAAAACACAAACAAUGAUUAUUUCAUUGUAUGUAUUUAUGUGGAAGGCAAAAUUAACUUUAGGCAACAAUGAAUAUAUUAUUGUCACCAUUUAUUUUUGUGUAUGAAACUGCGUUGAGUACAUUUUAAAAGUGUGUUUACUUGAAGAAACAUUAAAUUGAUUUUUUAAAAAUGUUUUCCAAUAGUUUUGGUGUGCUAAUGUCAAAAAUGAGAAAAAUAUAAAAAUAUAUUUUAAUACAUUUUUAAAUGAAGUACUUUUGAGAAGUACCAUGCACCUCAAUACUAAAUACACGUUAUGUUUAUAAAAAAAAAGUGUUAACUGAUAAGUUUAACAUGAAAAGAUUGGAUGUUGUAGAUGUCAUACUAAAAAUAAAAUAUUUUAAGAUAUAUGAUAGAUUUGUAUUGUCUUAAUCUUAUUAUGUUGAGAAAAUUAUUGAUAAAUUUUUUAAAGAUAAUAAUAGCACACUAUCAAAACAUCAAUGUAUAUAAGUAUACAAUGUUGAAAAACAAAGGUGAAGGGAUACUCCAAUUGAAAUAUUCUCGAAUUAUUGAGAACUUAAUGUAUGUUAUGAAUUGCAUAGGACUAAAUAUUGCAUAUUCAAUUAACAAGCUAAGUGGAUUUACCAAUAAUCCAGGUUUGCAUGAUUGAAAAUUAAGCAAUAAAUAUGAUACUUAAAUACUUGGUUUACAUCUUGGACUAUAGGUUACACUAGUAUAAUAAGUAUCUGACAGUACUUAAGAGAUAUAAUGAUGCGAAUGAAUAUUUGACACUAUGGACUUAAAAAUCAACUAAUGAAUAUAUUUCCAUACUUGGUGAAGCGACAAUGUCUUGAAAGCCCUUCAAGAAAACAUGCAUCGUAUGAUCUAUUAUAGAAUUAGAGUUCAUUGCUCUCUUGAUAAUGUUUGAGAGGAAAUCGAGUGACUUCAAAACCUUUGAGAGGAUAUUUCAUAUUGGUUGAAGCUGGUGCCACAUAUUUGUGUCCAUUCAUUGCGAUAUCUAAUCAACAUCUGAAAUGGCAAAAUAUAGCAUGUAUAAUGGUAAGUCUAGAUAUAUAUGUCGUAAAUAUAAUACUAUUAAACACUUAUUUUCGAAUAAAAUUAUUAUAAUUAAUUAUGCAAGGUAAAAAAAAUAAAAUUAUUAUGAAUUUAUUUACUAAAAAUUUAACAAGAGAGCUUGUAUAUAGUUCAUUAAGAUUAAGAAGAAUUGGCUUAAAAUUUUUGAAGAUAAAAUAGUUGUAACCCUACGGGCUGAAUGAAGAUUUCAAGAUUUAGGUUUAAGUGGUAAUGAGUUUAGUAAACAAAGAACCUAGUUUCUUUCCUCCCAGCAUAUUCUCGUGUAGAGAGCUCAAAUCAUGUACUUUCUUGAGAAACAAGGCUUUAGAUUACGAUAGGAAUUGCUCGAGCCUUGUCUUAUUUGCAUAGAGUUGGAGAAGCUAAUAAUUUGAGUUUUUUUGUAUGAAAAUAGCAUAAGUGGAUUAAUUAUGAUUUUUUUAUUAUUAAUUAUGCUAGCUUGUAUAAAAAGAUUUCCACUUGUGCUACUUUUAAGAAAAAUCUCCAAAACUUUUUAGGGAUUUCAAGUCCUGGGAUGUAUUGCUUGAUCAGGUAAAGUAAUUGUAGAAUGGUACUGAAGGCAAUAUUGAUACAAAAAAAAAAAUUUAGUUUUCCACUUGAGAAAAUCUCCAAUAACUUUUAGGGAUUUCAAGUCCCGGAAAGGAUUGCUUGUCAUCUAAAGUAAUUGGAGAAUAGUGCUGAAGGGAAUAUUAACGAUCUAAAAGAAAUAAAUUUAAGAAAAUAUCUUUCUGUGAUGCAUGAUCAUGCAUGUGAAUUCCCUGUUUCUUCAGUCGCUAUCGGGGCUGUGGCUUGCAAGAUGGGGUCCUGAAGAUGCAUACAUUUCACCCACCCAAGAACAAAAGUUGUGGGGGCGGCUGGUUAUGUUUUUUCUGGAUUCAGCUGAGACAAAUUGCUUGUUGACAGCUAGAGAUCACCACGGCAUCUUACCUUGCUCUUAUCUUUCUUGCUUCAAGGGAUAAGAUGAGCCCACCAUUCUGAUAAGAUGCCACCGUGCGGUUGCCAACCAUCAACUUGCAAGGAUCCCAUCUCGAAUUCGUUAUCCUAAAUUUGUAGUUCAACGAGGUGAAGUAGUGGAGUUUCUUCCUUUCCAUUGCAAAGAAGAAGAAGAAGAAGAAGACGAAGAAGAAGCAGCUUUGUCUGAAACUAAUUGUAGGAGAAGGCAUGUUUGGGAACGCGGCUGCGGCUGCGUUCCCAAAAAAUUUGAAUUUUUUUUUAAUUUUUACUAAAAUUUAAUAUGGUUUGUAUGGUUUGGAUUGUUUUGAUGUGCUGGUGUCAAAAAUGAUUUUUAAAAAAUGAAAAAACAUCAUUAGCAUGUAUUUUGACACGAAAAGUUAUUUGAAAAGCACCCGCAACCACACUGCCAAACAUACUCUCAAGUACCAGCAGAAAAGGUUGCAUUAGUGUGGGUGGAGUGUAAUGGAUAUUUUUUUUAAUUUUUUUUAUAUUAGCCCAUCAAAAUAAAACAAAAUAAAAUAAAAAAAAUUAACAGGUAAAUUUCUUUUCUAAAUACACUUGUUCGAACUAUGAACAAGUAAAUCAUCUUUAAAUUUUAUCAUGGGAUGAGGGGAGAUUAGAAUUUCUGAAAGACCACAUAGUAUUAUUUUUUUCUUGGCAAACUGAUGUGUAUAGAAAUAGCAAAUUAAUAGAUAUGAUUCUUUCCUCCAAGAAAGUGCUUAGAAGCAUAAUAGAGUAAGAAAAGUUUGUUGAUUUUCGACAACUUCAAUUACAGCUAUGUUUGCUAACUGAAUUUUUUUAAAAGUAUAUUUUUGUUUAAAAAUAUAUUAAAAUAAUAUUUUUUUAAAAAUUUAUUUUUAAUAUUAACACACGAUUUGAAAGCACAUAAAAAAUAUUAAUUUAAAAUAAAAAAUAAAAAAAUAAUUUCUUUUUAAAAACAAUUUAAAUACAUUAAAUCAAACAGGUACCACAUGAGUUUUUAACACGAUAAAGCUAAGUGAAUAUUCAUUCCUCUGACCAUCACACAGGUACUUAAGUGGAUAUGGCAAUAGGCGUAACGAUGUAAUAGUAUUUGAUUCAAACUUUAUCUUAUGCCAACAAUUGUCAAUUGAGAUGACAUUACCUUUUCAAGUACCAUAGUUUCCAUGAUGUAGUGAAAGAUAUUGAUUCUCUCUCUCUCUCUCUCUCUCUCUCUCUCUCUCUCUCUCUCUCUCUCUCUGGUCCAGUUACACAUGAAUAAAAAAAAACAAGAUUUUUAUCUAAUUACAGUAAAAAAGGUGAAGAAAAAAACAUUAACCUCACUCUAUUUCAACUAUAACUGGGUUAAGAUGAAUCAGAUCAAGACAAAAUAAAUGGAAUAUAAUCUAGCUAGGUGCUUCUUUAACAAAUCUCCAAGGGUACAAAUUCUUAAACUUCCUUCGGUGUGCUCAAUUAUAAGAGAAGUUAAGGAGUUAGGGUUUAUAAUUUAUAUAUGAAAAAGGGAGAAACUAAGAAAGAAAGUAUUGUGUUUUUUUUUAAAAAAACUUUUUUUAUCAACAACUUUUCUAGGAACAGGGUUGAGUUUGAGGAUUGAUGCAGUCAAUCUUGUGAAAAUUAAAAGUUUUGAAUAUUCCAAUGAUAAUCUUACACUAUUAGAUGAGAAUUUAAUUUAAAUAGACUAUGUAAAUAGUAUAAUAAAUAUUUUUAUAAACUAAUAAGAUAAAUUUAGGUUUAAGAGAAGGUUUUACUACACCAAACUAAAUUAGCAUCUUAAAAUUAAGAUAAUAAGAGAUUUAACUAUUAAAUCGAGUUUAAAUUUUUUCAGGUGAUUUUACAUAUAAUUUUUCUAUAAAAAGUCAUUUUAAUACUUAUUGAACAAUUAUAUCUUUUAGAAUUAGACCCAGAAGUUAUUGUUUGGAUUAAUUUUAUUAUUUUUCUAGGAUUUUUUAGAUUUAUUAUUUUUAUUUCGAAUCCUGUUUUAAUUUCCUUAUUUUUUUUAAUUAGAUUUUAAAUUGUUUUCUAGUAGAGAUAGAUUUUCCUAACUUAUAUAAAGGUAUUGUAAAUCUUUUUUUUUAAAAAAAAACCACUAUAUAGUUAAAUUAUAGAGAAUACAAUGAUAAAUUUAAAGUUUAUAUCUUCAAAUCUUUUUGUUCAGUAAAAUUUUUGUGGUUUUUAUAUUAUUGAUGUACUAGUGGCUUGCACAGGCGUCAACUUUGAAAAUUAAGUUUUUACUGCUGAGUUAGGAAAGCAGGAACUCCAAGAAACUAUAAAAUAUUAUAUGAUUGUGAUUAUAAUUGAUUUGAUGUUCAAAGUCCCCUUGUAAUUUAUGCAUCGUCUCCUUCCUCCUACCAUUAUUUCUACAUCUUCUUCAUUUUCUAUCCUAAUUUUUUUAACCUGUAGAUUUUUUUAUUUAUUUUCAAAUUCAUAAUAAAAAUUAAAAAAAAACUAAGUCUUCAACGUUUUUUCUUCUCCACCGCAUAUCAUAAAACUAAGAUUUAUGGUUUCUCAAAAACUCAAGCUACUGUCAUUUUUAGUUUUCGUAUUUGAAUAACAGGAAUCCAGAGUUAUCGAGAAACCACAUUUUCCCAAUUAAUUCACUAAUUAACUCAAUCUGUGGUCAAAAGAGUUUAUCAAGGACAAAUCUUUCCCUCAUCAACAACGACGCAUUCAGUGCCAGCAACGAGUUUGAAUCAUUUACAUUUCUUCUCUUAUCCGUCAGUAAAAGAAAAUAUGGGCUAAUAAUACAAAACCUUUGCUCCCCUCUGUUCAUCAAUAAUUCAACCCUAUGCCACCAUAUAUAUAUAUAUAAUAUUGUUACUUCAAAAUCAAUGGCCAUCAAUCACGAUGACAUCUUACCUUGCUCUUAUAUUUCUUGUUUUCUUCCUCCGAUAAAGUGCUCAGAAGCAUUAUUGAGUAAGAAAAGUUCGCUGAUUAUCGACAAGAUUCCAGCUGGGCCUUGCUGACUGAAUUAACAUUUUCAGCACACGAGUUUUGAACAUGAUAAAGCAAGUGAGCAUUCACCUGACCGGCACACCGAUAUUAAGAUAUUGCACACCAUCGCCAUCAGUGGAACCCCACAGCCUCAUCACCAUCAACCCCUAAUAUUAUCAUCGUAAAUCCUCUUCUUCCAUCCUUUCCAUAUCACAAUCCUUAAGUUACAGUCUUGCAAACCAAGAUUACGCAGUUCAUAGUUUGUGGCCUUUUCCGACGUGUGCUGUUAUGGCUGACGAUGAAUGGAGAAGGUGAGCAAGAGAAUAUCAAUGAGGAGAGAAGAAGUGGAACGGCAAAGAGUACUAUAUGUGGGAAGGGUAAUAUGGGGUAUUCAUGUCUAAUUACUUUUUUAUUUUCUUAAAUACAUCUAAAGUUAAGAAAACUCCAUUUUAUUUAACCAGCUUUUCCCCGUAAUCUAUAAAAGCAUAGUAGUAAUUUUUAAUUUUUAAAUAUAUUAAAUAAUAUUUUUUAAUAUAUAAAAAUUAUUUUUGAUAUUGUAUAUUAAAAUAAUCUAAAAAUAUUAAUUUAAAAUAAAAAAAAUAAAAAAAAUUCAAUUUAUAAAAAAAACACUUCCAUAACAUAUAUCAAAUACUAUCGUCAUGCCGUAUCAGCACCCUCCUGUUAACAGCGUUGAAACGCCGUUAAACCUUAACACGAAAUGGAAAUCUCAUUAGGAAAAAAAAUAUCUUAAUUUUUUUUCACAAUAUUUUAUCUUGUCUUUUUAAAUAUCAAAAUUUAUAUUAAACAGUUGACAGUAAUUUAAAUAUUAAAUCAGUAACAUGCAAAUUCAAUCAACGGAAAAAUUAAAUUUAUUAUUAUAAUUGAUUUAAUACCCAUAUUAGCCUUAUAACUUAUAUAUCUUCUUCCUCUUGCUAUUAUUUCUUUCUCAAUUGUUAUUUUUUUAUUCGAGUUCCUUUCCAAAACAAAGAUGGUUACUGAUGACGCUGGAAAAAAAUUCUUGGGAGGAAUAUAAAACUGAAUCUGAAAAACUUACUGACCCGACAAUAUCUUUAAGAAAAAAAAUUUAAUGCUUAAGUUAAUAUAGUAUUUGAGGAAAGUGAUUUUCUUAAAUACUGUUUAAAUCUUGUAUUAAAUUUUUGUUGCACUAGAAUUGUAUUGAGUCUUGUGUUGUCCAGAAACCUAAAGUACUUUAGAGAGAUAUAUUCAUAUAGAUAUUUUUAAGAUAAAUAUUUAAGUUUUAAUAUAUUUUAUAUAAAUAUUUAUUAAAUAUCUAAGUUAUAAGAUAUUUAUGUAGAUGUGUAUAUUGUAUAAAACAUUAUAUAGACUUGAUUGAACUUGGUUCAAGAAUUAAUAUUAUUGUAUAGUUUUUUCAUGUAUCAUCAAAGUCCCUCAAAGUCUUACAAACAUAUGUGUUAGGAAGAAUUAACCUAGCAAGAGAGAAAAGAAAUACUUAAAAUGGAUAAUGUUACCCUUUGGGUGUACAAUCUGCCAUAAAAGGUUGUUUGUGGAUGUAGGCAUAGUCGACGGUGUUGUCAUGGAUGUAGCUGCUGACGUAGCCAUAGGCCUAACGCUUGCUUAGCCGUUGGCAUGUCAUUGGCGUAGCCUUGGACAUAGCCAUUGGCAGUCACCGAUGUGUUGUUGGUAUAAUUACUGCUGUGUUGGGGUUUUGUUAACCAUGAAAAGAGCUUUUAAAAAUCAAGAAUGAACUGUUUUUUUGUUCAUUCCUCAUAUGCAACACCAUUAACGAGGCUGAAAAAAAUCCUCAGGAGAAAGAAGGGAGUUUGAAAGCAUUUUUCAUAUGCUGAUAAAAUUAACUUAAAAAUUUAAGUGAAAAAUACUUUAAAAAACAAUAUCCACAUUAACUUCAAAUCUCAAACUGUGCUGUAAAAUUUGUUCGGAUAUCUGCAUACAUGUUAAGCUCAAACACAAGAAGACCAAAACUAAAUUCUGAUACUGAUACUGUUUCUCUUUUCUUUCGGAAGCUACAAACUAUAAUUGAUUUAAUACCUAAAAAUAAACAAUCUAAUAUCAAAUCUCCAAUUACCUAUAACACAAUUUAAAUUAAGCUAGAAGCUUAGAUUCCUGGAAAACCUAGAUCAUACAAAAACCAAUUCUAACACAAUCUUCAAAACAACUUAAUCUCUAUCAUUAUUGAUUCCCAAACUUAAAUCUCAUCAACCUAAAAAACUAUAACAAAAUCGAUAUAAAAAUAAAGAAGAGGCACCUACGAAUAGUGGGAUCAAAGAAUUGAGAUAUAUCCUUCAGGAUUAAUUAUAAUUUAUCGUCUAAUUCAAAUAGAGUUUGUGGAUUAUAAUUUCAACAAGACCGGUGUGAUGGUCCAGAAGAAAAGGACGGGUGAUGUUUUAUUUUCGUGUGAUUAGCCAAUGUCAAGAAAGAAGGAAGAGAGGCCAGAGAAGACGAAAAGAAUAAAAAAAGUAGAAGAAAAAAUUACGUGAAAGAUAUUUUUAUCAAUCUUUAAAUUUUGAAAAUAAUGAGAUGAAGUAAUGCCAUGCUCAAACAAAGAAGAGUCGUGAUAACUAACCGCUACUUUCCUUACAACCUGCCCAACGUAUGACUUUGGCUAUUUAAUCAUGCUGCUUCUACUGGGACGAAUCCAUUAAAUUAUCAGCAAUCAUCUUCCUUGUUUCAGAUACUGUUCAGCUCCAACAUGGCCUCCAUUGAUGUUCUUUCAAAUCCACUCAAAUUCUCAGCUUUAGUUCUAAUCCUAUCUAUAUUCAUAGUCCAACUCUUCCUUAGAAAGUUGAACAAAAAGCAGAAAAAAUACAAGUACCAUCCAGUUGCAGGCACGGUGUUUACCCAACUUCUCCACUUCAACAGGGUGCAUCAUUACAUGACUAACCUUGCUGGGAAAUAUAAGACUUACAGGCUGCGCGCCCCUUUCAGAAGUGAGAUUUACACUGUUGACCCUGUAAAUGUUGAGUACAUACUCAAAACCAACUUUGAAAAUUAUGGCAAGGUAAUUUAUUUCUUCUUACUGUGAUCUAUUUCGUCAAUAUCAGAACCAAAUGUUUGGUCCUUGUUUUUAUGAUGUGAAUUGUGUAAAAUUAUCUUGAUGAAUUCAAGAACCAAUUAUGAGUAGUCACAAAAAAAUUUGUUAGGGUGAUGAGAAUUUGAGUGGGGAUUUUUUACUGUUCACUUUUCCUCAGGAUUAGAUUCCAAUGGCUAAAAGGGUAAAGAUUUAGCUUCCUCAAUCUUUGUGCAGGGGGACCAUAAUUACGACAAUUUAAGUGGGUUACUAGGUGAUGGAAUUUUCACUGUUGAUGGUCACAAAUGGCGCCAACAAAGAAAGGUUUCGAGCUAUGAGUUCUCCACAAAGGUCUUGAGGGACUUCAGCAGUGUGAUCUUCAGGAAGAAUGUGGCAAAACUUGCUAAUAUAGUGUCUGAAGCUGCAAAAUCUAACCAGUCAAUGGACAUACAGGUUAGUCUUUGAUCCAAUGUCACAUCAUGAAUUGAUUUUCAAAUUACGUGACCUUCUAAGCUUAACUGGUUGUGCAGGAUCUGUUUAUGAAAUCAACCUUAGAUUCGAUAUUCAAAGUUGGAUUUGGGGUUGAGCUAGACAGCAUGUGUGGAUCAAAUGAAGAAGGUGUCAAAUUUACCAGUGCUUUUGAUGAUGCAAGUGCAUUGACCCUUUGGCGAUAUGUUGAUGUGUUCUGGAAAAUCAAGAGGUUUUUGAAUAUUGGAUCGGAAGCUGCAUUGAAGAAAAACGUCAAAGUGGUUAAUGAUUUUGUGUAUAAACUAAUCAAUAAAAAAAUUGAGCUAAUGCGUAACUCAAAAGAAGUUUCUUCUGUGAGUAUCUCUCCUUGAAACUAUUAUUUCUGAUAGAUUGCAGAGGCAUGAAUCUUACUUGAUCUUACAUGGAAAAUGCAGUUAAAGAAAGAUGACAUUUUAUCAAGGUUCCUGCAAGUGACUGAGAAUGAUCCAACAUACUUACGGGACAUAAUUCUCAAUUUUGUGAUUGCUGGAAAAGACACAACAGCAACUGCUCUAUCAUGGUUCAUCUACAUGUUGUGCAAGCAUCCAGCUGUGCAGAAUAAGAUUGCACAAGAAGUAAGAGAAGCAACUAAAGUGAAAGAGAAUACAGACUUUGCAGAAUUUGCAGCCAGUAUUAAUGAAGAAGCUCUAGAAAAGAUGAACUAUCUCCAUGCAGCAAUUUCUGAAACUCUUAGACUGUAUCCAUCUGUGCCUGUGGUAAGAAGAAAUUAUAUGCACCUGCAAUUCCUGGCCGCACGACACAAUUAUAGUAGGAAAACUGAUUGACUGUUCGAAUAUGUUCAAAUAAAUUCAUGACUAUUUACGAAUUCUUCACGACUGAAACUAUGAUUCUUGAGCAACAAACACCUUAAUUCUCACAGUAUGCUUAUGUUUGAACAUGCUCUUAUAGAGUUAAUAAUGCUUCCUAAAUAAUUUUAUAAUUUUAUUGUUUCUGUAUCUCAAAAUUCUUUGCUUUGCAGGAUGGGAAGAUUUGCUUUUCUGAUGACACUCUACCAGAUGGCUUUAACGUGAGUAAGGGAGAUAUGGUGGCUUACCAACCUUAUGCAAUGGGCAGGAUGAAGUUCAUAUGGGGCGAUGAUGCUGAGGAAUACAAACCUGAAAGAUGGCUCAAGGAUGGCGUGUUUCAGCAAGAAAGCCCUUUCAAGUUUACAGCUUUCCAGGUUAGUUGAAAUAAAGACUGGUCUAAUUCACUUGAUUAACAUUCAAAUAAAUUUUCUUCUUCCUUCGAUGUGCAAAUUAUCAAGAUCGAGUCAUCAUUAAGAUCUACUUUCUGUGCUAGCUCAGCUUAAGUUUAUGGACUCCCAAUCCCAUUGACCAAAUGACUAAAAUCAGGCUUUCUGCUGGUUAACAGGCAGGGCCACGGAUAUGUCUUGGGAAGGAAUUUGCUUAUAGGCAGAUGAAGAUCUUUGCGGCUGUCUUGGUGGCCAGUUUCACUUUUAAACUCGCCGAUGAAAAGAAACCAGUCAAUUACAGGACGAUGAUUAAUCUUCAUGUUGAUGGAGGCCUCCAUGUUUUUGCCCUCCACAGAAACAGUACUUAGCUUUGUAGAUUAAUCUUCAUAUUGAUGGAUGCCUCCGUGUUUUUGCCCGCCACCGAAACAGUACUUGGCUCUGUAUAUCACUAUAUCUGUAAUGGUAUUGCAUCAAUAACAUGGGCGUAAGGCCCAUGGAUGGUAAUCGCUAUCAAUGGUUUGGGUUUUUAUUAUAUUAAAACUUAUUCUUUAAUAUUAAUAUCCUAUCUAUCAUCUUUUAGGUUCUAGAUAUCUAUAUAUGUAUAUUUAUAUUGUUUAUUAUAUAUAAAUUAAAAUUAAAUAAUAAAAUUAUAAAUGUUGCGCUAGCAUCUCGGGGUGUGUGUGUGUUAUAUAAUAUAUGCAGUACAAAUGUAUAUUGCUCGAAUUAGAGUUAAGUUGAAUUUAAUAAUAUUUAUUACUUAUUUAAAUUAUCAUCCCAAAACCCAACGCCAAACCAUCAAAGAAAAACAGGGUUAAAUAGUGUUUUCCCGGCAAAGCAAAGACUUGCAAAAUCAGAGGAUUUAUUCAAGAAACUAGUAUUGAAGAUCCCUCGGUUUGAUUUAAAGGUGGAUUUGGAUUGAAAUUAUAUAUAUACUAAAAUAAAACGUUGUUUUCAUGUAGAAAUGAAAAAAAAUGUAGAUUUUGCCAAUUUGUUUUUAGUUGUAAAAUUGUAAUUUUUUAUUUUUUUUUAGAAAACAAGUUUUUUAUUUAUAUUUUUUCUCUUUGUACUUGGUUUUUUUUUUAUCAUUUUACACUUAGCAUGUUUAUCACCAUUUUUUUAUUUUUAUUUUUUUUGUAAUAUCUUUUUAGUUUUUCCUAUUUGUUUUUUUAUAUUUUUUGAAAAAAAAUAUUAUUUUUCUGUUUUUUACACUUUGAAUAUUUAUCACUCUACACUUGACCUAUUUAUAUUUUUUUUUGUUAUCUUUUUUCUUUUGUAAAUUGUUUUCAAAUCUUUUUCCUUAUAUUUUUUUUUUAAAUAUUAUACAAAGAAAAUAAUGUUUCACUCCAUUUUUCUACUACGUUAAAAAUUAAUUUGAGAUUUUACAUGUUUUUAUUAACACAUGAUAUUUAUUAUAUUUUAUUAUAUAUAUUUUUAUUAAUCUUUACUCUAUUUUAUUACAUGUAAACAUCAAUUUUUUUAGUCACAGUUAUAUUUAUUACUUAGAUGUUAAAAAAACAAAUUAAUAACACCUAAAAAUUAAUGUUAAUAAAACCUAAAAAUUAAUUCUUUUAUGAUAGAAAAAAAAUUAUUCGAUAUACAACAAAACAAGUUAAAUAAACAUGUUGACACUUUAUUUUUUAUAUUUAUAAACGCAAAUAAUUUUUAAUGUAUUUAAUUAAAUACAUAUAUUAACCUUUUAAUUUAUAAUUAAAAUUUUUAAAUAAAAAGACACAUUUUUUUCAAAUAACUAGUCUUACUAUGAGGCACAACUAUUCCAGCGUUUAUUGACCUCCAUAAGAUGACAAGCCUUGUUCAUCUCUCGAUAGAUGUAAGCUUCAAAGUUGCAUGAUCUACAAACAGAAAUUAUUCGUUUAUAGCAUCAAAGCCUUAACUCCGAAUCACUUUGCCCAGCAAAGACAUUGUAGUUUAUUAAUCAAAUAAUCGAAAAGUCAGGCCAAAAACGUUUUCAGUCACUAAAUUUGAAAUGAAUAAAAGGCUUUGCCAGUCACAAAUUAAUGAUGAUUAUCGUCUAUUAUGCCCAGCAGGGAUGAAAAAGGGCCGAACCUUUUUUCUUAACUCAAAGGAGAAGACCAAAUUGGAUCACAGAGAGCCGUCCAUGAUCAAACUCUUAUACAUUAGAUAAUAUACAAGCAAGAAAAGACGAUAAAAACAAGAUGGAUAUGCAUUAUGCUCGUAUCAUUGCAAUGACGUUGUAGUCACAGGAGGCGGAAGAUGAAGCCCUGGUCUGGAAGUCCACCCUUUGCGACCCCUGUAGGCCUCAAUAGCUUGUAAACGAAGCCUUUCCCGAGAUGCGUCAUGGACAUUCUUAAGCAACUGCAGAUUUCACAGAACUUCUUGUUUGAACAACAGAAUAUCUACUAAUUCAUAUAUAAAUAUGAAGAAACAAUGAAAGCUAUACCUUAGAAGGGGCAGUAAACUUUGGGGGAGCUUGGACCACAUCUCCAAAUUGUAUCUGCUCACAUCCAGGAAAGUCCUGCCACUCCUCGGAUUUCUUGUUUUUCUUCUUCUUUGCUUCCAAAUACCUACAUGUAUUAAAAAUGUGAUCAUGUAGAUGUUCAACAACCAUAUGCUUGAACAAGCAUGUGAGUGGGGAUUAGAUACUAAAAUUUGAAUUCACAUUCAGGCAAAUUAGAAAUUAAACUGAACAGAACAAGUGCACUAAGUCCACUACAUGAAUAUUUGUACCAUCUUGUUCAAACUAGAGAAAAAACCUCCAGGGGCCAUAACAGAGGUGGUAUCCUCCACUAAAUCCUUGGCAAGUCUAAUGCAUUAACCUGUAGCCUUAUGAUUCUGCCCAAAGCAAUUGUAAGCACCACAUGCCCCCCAACAAAAUUCCUACCGAUGAUCCAAAAUUUUUGGAUACUGUGUCGACAACCUGACCACAAAAUUUCAAGUACGAAUAUUGCACUUGAAAUAAACAGUUCACAUUUCACAAAAUAAAAUGCAGACAGGAAUAGCUGUCAUUAAGUAGCUUUCAUUGCAAAAUUAGGUUAGUCACAGGCACUACCAGUGUUGUCAAUGGCAAAAGGCACUAAAAGACGCCAAGCUUGUAAAAUGCCCAAGGUGUUAGGUGCACGCCCAGGCUCUCGCUGAAUGAACCAAGGCGAUAUGCUAUAAAUUAAAAAAAAUAUAUAUGUACAAUAUUAUAUUAUAAUAUAUAAAUCUAAAAUAUAUAUCUUCGCAAUUAAGAUUAGAUCAUUAGAAAAUAUAAAAUAUCAUAAUAUAGUCAUAUAAAGUUAUAUUUUUCACCCUUAAAAAAAGAUAAUUUAAAGUAGCAACAGUGUUGUCAAAGGCGAAAGGUGCCAAGCCUGUAAAAUGCAUGAGGCACUAGGUGUUCGCCUAGGCAGCACUUCAUUAAAAUUCAUCGCCUAAGGCUAAUAGAGGUGUUAUGGCCUUGCUUGUAGCGCUUGAGCAAGCACCUACGCGCCUUGUCACUGGGCACUACCAUUACUCACUGGCAUCUAUUACAAAAAUCACAUUAGUUUCCCGAGUAAAAGGUUUUCCCCAUAAAAAAAAGAUACCUAUGGCACAUACUUGCUCAUACUUUAAACAUCCCAAAGAGAAAGUCCAAGGGCCACCCAUCAUGAGUUAGAUACAGAACUAGCUAACUCAGCAUGUAAUCACUCUACUCAGCAAAGACUUAUUCCCAAACACAAUUGUGAAUAGUUACGUGGAUGAUUUCCCUCUACUCUAUUUUGUUUUAGCCAACUUUUUAACAUGCUUUCACCGUGGUAUAUGUUAUCCAAUUCUAAAGCAAUUUUAGUAAAAUCAGGGGGUGUAUGGACUUUCACGAGGAGUUCAUCGUGAACAAUUUUCACUCAAUCUAAUUUAAUGUUAGACUUUACUUGGCUAAUAACACAGACAAUUAUGUUGCAAGAAAUCAAGUAUCACUUCCAAGCUGUCAAGAAUUCACGAGGACUAAAAGAAGAGGGAUGGCUUCAAAAUGCUUACUUUUUCUUGCGCUCGCGGCGUUUCUCAACAGUUUUUGAUUUAUGCAGUCCCAUUUCAAACCUAAGAUCAUUUACUUGCUUUUUCUUCUUCUUCUUCUUCCUCUUUUCAUCUCCACUACCCUCCACAAUUUCUUCGACACCUUCAUCUUUCACCAUUGUAGCUUCAUUCCCUUCCUCAUGAGCUCGUUUCUAUAUAUAUAUAUUUUAAAAAAAAACAUUCAUGCAUAACCAGAAACAAAAAGAGAGAGACAGACAGACAGACAGAGAGAGGCAUUUAUCAGUUUCUUAAGAGCUCAAAAGAAGCACUUACUUUCUUAGCAUCACCGACUUCUUGUUUCGUAUUCUCUUGACCGGACAUUGAAUUUUUAGCAGAGUCUAAAAAAAACAAAAAAAAACGUGUAAGUAAAAAGACAAAAAAGGGGGGAAAGAGAGAGAGAGAUUGGGAGGUGAAGGAGGGUGUAGAGAGAAAGGGGGUACCGUCGUGAAGCUGAGAGGUUAAAGAGAUGAGUUUGCGGAGUUUGGAAGGGAGAGCGUCCACUUGGGAGGAUUUUGGUGGGGGAGGUAGUAGAGAAUGGGAUCCUCCAUGCGCCGCUCUGUAGUUUUUCUCUCUUCUUCUUCUUCCUUUACCUCCCAUCUCUCUCUUUCUUUUUUCUUUUUAGUUGCUAUCCCUAACCCUAAUCAACUCUACUGCUGUUGGCUGGCUGCUCCUCUUUCAGGUUUUUUCUCUUGCUUUCAACUCUUUUUUUUCCUUCUUUUUUAUUAAUUUUCACCAACUCAGUGUCAAGUAAACACUAUUGCGUGGCGAUCAACUUUCAAUUCUUAUGGGACCCACUUUAUUACCAUAACUAUUUAUCAUAGAUGUUAAAACUGACCCGGGUUAAUCUAGUACAAGUCUGUGAUCAUGGAUUAAUCCGGUUAAUACAAAUUAAUUUAUUUAUUUUUUUUAAAAAAAAAGAAUAAAAAUAAAAAUAAAAAUUUUUGACUUUUUAUUUUUUUUUAUUUUAUGAUAACCGAGUCAUUCGUCAACUUAAACUUUUAAUUAACUCAAUUCUCAUUCUAUUUUUAUUAAAACUAAACUUUAAAAAUAUAGUUGAAGUUAUUUUUUAAAGUAAUUUUCAUACUAAAAUACAUCAAAAUAAUAUUUUUUUAUUUUUUAAAAAUUAUUUUUAAAUUCAACACACUAAAAUAAUACCAAACAUUAAAAAAAAAAAAAUUUUACACCUCAAUCAACUUGCAAUCGAACAAGUUUUAAAAUAAUGGUAUUUGUAAACAACAUUGCUAUUUCUUUUCUUCUCUUUUUUCUAAGCUAUCGUCCAGUUCAUCAUUAUUAACAUUAAUAAACACCAAUACUGUAUUAUUAUUAUUAUGGAUGCUUCAAAAAUAAAAAUAUAAAAACUUUUCUAUCCGAUGCACCAGGAUUCUUAUUUUUGUUCUUUUUCCACUACACAAAAAAUCAAGCUCUCACUACUCCCAAACAGCAUUUACAAUGUCAUGCAAAAUAUUUUUUGAAAGAUAACAAUGAGAUCAACGCCAUUAACUUGUUCUUUCUUAACCAGAAUCUUCAGCUAUCUAUAUUCAAUUUUGACAGUAAUUUGAGCUUAUACAUGUGUACAAAAGAUGCGAGGUGGAAUGCAGUUGUGUUUCAUUUACAAAAUCAUAAGAAAAAAAGUGAUGGCCAAAAAAGAACUACUCAACCCUCGGGGAAUCAACUCAUCGAAGACAACAAACUACAUCUCAACAAUGAAUCAAAAAGUGCAGUAACUACAGUGGGACUCAGCUCAUGGACAUAAAGAGCUGUUCCACUGCUAAAAUACAUGUGUUACAUCCACAGGACAGCCGCAAACUGUAAAUUUAGCAAUCGACUUGGUAUCUGAUCCGGGGCAGCAAACAUACCCUUGUAUACAUUAGUGGCAUCCUUGGUAGUAUUGCGUAUCUUCUGUAUUCAACUAAAGAAGUAUUUCAAUGGCCUAAACGCUGCGAUUUUAUAAGUGGGCUCAACCCGUCGCCUUCCCAACCAAGCUUGAGCAUCUGAUCGACCACUUUCAAGCUCAACUGCAAGCAGCAAUCAAGGGAAUCACCAUAAGGUUUCACUAACAACAAGCAUUUCGAUCACAAUAAUGACACGGUCAAUUAGAUCACUAACAACUGAAAUAGAUUACAAAAAGUUGAACCAUUUUCCCACCAAAGCAUUGUUUUCAAAUAGACAUAAGAAAGCAGAGUGAACUGAAGAAUACAAAUUUGUGACAACACUGUAAUUACUUCAAAAUACAUAGGGCCAAGUGCACUGGCGUUUCAUAUGUUGCCAUGGGACGGUUUAGCAAGUUGAACACACGAUGAUUAAAUAGAAGAUUUUUGGGGACAAAGGCCCCUUAAAUGUUCUAACUAGACCAGGAGCACAUUGUCAGAGAAGUAAGAAUAUGAACAAAUUGAACUUACAGCUGGAUCAGUGAAGAUUAUCAACUGUUUAUCUGCAGUUGAUACCAAGAGAUUUGUGCUAUCAUUGUUUAAAGCCAGAGCAGUAAUAUCCUGGCCUUCUCCAAGUUUCAAAACAUGAAAUACCUGGACACAAAUUGGCAUGCUAGUUAGUAAAACUCAAUUAACUGUGAGACCUACCAGGUAUAUCAUGAGCAAAAACUUAAUAGCAAAGGACACUUUAGAGCCAAGUGAAGUAUUCGUGGGGCACUACAUUAAAUGUCUAUGCAUUCAUGAAUGCCCAAGACAUAUAAACAACAGGUCUGUCCAUUGAAACAGGAAGGAAAGCAUCCUUUAUUUCUUAAGAAUCUUAACAUGUAAGCAUUAUUAGGUCGGGUCACAGAGGAACAAACAUUUAAAGGUACAAGAUUUGCAGCACUUGAAAAACUAAGAUAGGUCAUGCAUAUAAAUGAUUUAAAAUUUUCUCGAGUUCUUAUACCUUCAAUGUAUAAAGAUCCAGGAAACAAAUUGAAGGGGAAGGAACAUCUAAUCUGUUAUGUUCACCAGUGUCCUCUGAUUCCAGAUUAAAAUCUGCAGCCCCUGGCUUCUUCAAGCUUAUUUUUUUGUUGUUAUUAGAGGUUUCAUCGUUUUCCUGAUAUGAGUUCAUGCCAAUCAAAGCACUCUUCCCAUCCACAGAAAUUUCAAUGCAACUAACACAGCCAGAUAAAGGAAGUUGUGCUCUAGCAAUUGGUUUCCCGUUUAGAGUAUAGGUGUUCAGAGAAUUUUGACAUUUGUUCCAGGUCAUCACAACCCCCUCGGAUGAAAGACAAACAGAGUGGGCCUCCACACCAACCAGCCUUCUGAUCAAACGGCCCCUUCUUAUAGAAUGCAACAGAACAUCUGAUGAUUGGGAGCAAGAAACAACAAUCCCAAGAUCUGAAUUGACACAACAACACAUUAUUUCUCUGUGGUGACCACGUAGAACAUGUAUGGGACCCUCAAUGCGACACCUCCUGCUUUUUUCUGCCAGGUUAGUUGCUGUAGUGCUACUGGAUGCAGGUGGUGUGCCUGUGUCUGUGACCUUGGAAGGCUCUGACAUGCUGCUUGAGCUUGAAGUGAAUGCCCUGUGUAUCUUCCAGAGUAAGACAGUAGUGUCCCGUGAUCCUGUGACGAGAUAGUUGCUAUCUGGUGAAAGAGCAAGGCAAGUAACUGGAGCACAAUGCGCAACUGCAGUUUCUAGGGUUUUUGCACCAUCUGCUGAUAAUAGCUUGAUACUGUUAUCUGCAUGCCCACCUAAAUACAGUCGCAGAUGAUUGGAUAUAUUAGUUUAUCAGGAAAAUACAAAACAAAUUCCAUAUGAUAGCGAGAAAUUUUUUAGUAAGCUAGGCACACAACUAGAAAUCAAUCAAAAUAAGAAUUUAUACAACAAAAGAAACAAAUGACAAAAAAUAAUACAACUUAUGUAUAGAUGUUUGACUACAAGCACGGAUCAAAGGGUGGAAAUUUUCCUUAUUUCUAUAAAGUAUCAAGAUGCCAAGCAGUUUUCAAAGUGAAAAGAGAGUGAAUAGAAAUAAAAAUGAAAAUCAAAGUGAUUAAAGAGUGCAAUGAUGAUCUUUCACAUAGAAUAUUUUCCUUUACCUUCUUAGAAAGAAAAAAAGGAAAAUGCUUGCUUUCAUUUGAUUGAAAAUCUUGCAUAAAGAUUUCCAAGUGUGCACCAGUUUUUGAUACUUUCAUAUGAUUUUUGCAACAAUUUCAUUCAGAUUCAAGCUCUAGAAUUUUCUAUAUUCCCUGCCUAUUUAAACCCUUGAGGUUUUCCCUGUCACACCCUGAUACAUCCAAUAUACAAUCACAAGGUUGGAGAGCA